UAACAUGGCUUCCUCAAACUUUUUAGUGCUGCUUCUUUUUGCUCUCUUUGCUAUCCCUCGGGGUCUUGCCAAUUAUGACAAGCCUCCGGUUUACCAACCACCGGUCUACAAGCCCCCUGUUGAGAAGCCACCUGUGUAUAAGCCACCGGUAGAAAAACCUCCAGUUUACAAACCACCGGUAGAGAAACCACCAGUGUACAAGCCACCAGUUGAGAAGCCCCCCGUCUACAAACCUCCUGUAGAGAAGCCUCCUGUUUACAAGCCACCAGUAGAGAAACCACCAGUGUACAAGCCACCAGUUGAAAAGCCUCCGGUCUACAAACCACCUGUAGAGAAGCCACCUGUUUACAAGCCACCUGUAGAGAAACCACCAGUGUACAAGCCACCAGUUGAGAAGCCUCCGGUCUACAAACCACCUGUAGAGAAGCCACCUGUUUAUAAGCCACCUGUAGAGAAACCACCAGUGUACAAGCCACCAGUUGAGAAGCCCCCGGUCUACAAACCCCCUGUAGAGAAGCCUCCUGUCUACAAGCCACCAGUAGAGAAACCGCCAGUGUACAAGCCACCAGUUGAGAAACCCCCGGUCUACAAACCCCCUGUUGAGAAGCCUCCUAUCUACAAGCCACCAGUAGAGAAACCACCAGUGUACAAGCCACCUGUUGAGAAGCCUCCAGUUUAUAAGCCACCAGUUGAGAAGCCACCUGUGUACAAGCCCCCAGUCGAGAAACCCCCGGUCUACAAACCUCCUGUAGAGAAGCCUCCAGUUUACAAGCCACCGGUGUACAAACCUCCAGUUUACAAGCCACCAGUAGAGAAGCCACCUGUGUACAAGCCUCCGGUCUACAAACCCCCAGUUGAGAAACCUCCAGUUUACAAGCCACCGGUUUACAAGCCUCCAGUCGAGAAGCCACCAGUUUACGGACCACCUCACCACCCAUAGUACCCUCCCGUAGUUGGCACUACUCGUUUUUAAAGCAUGCUUUUAAGUAAAUAAGAGAUAUAUAAACUUUCCAAAGCAAGGAUCAUAUAUUCUUGGAAAUCUUCAAUUCAAUCUUAUGUUUACAAAUGCUAUUGCCAAGACAAGAGUGUGAAAGAAAAUGGUGCCAUUUGUACUUCAAAUUAUGAAUAAGAACGUUAUGAUUUAGUACUUCUUAUUUUGUGUUUGUUGACUAAAUUUGACAGAGUAUACUUUACUUGUUCCCUAUCAUACCAGUAAGGUGCAUGAAAGUUCAGUCUUGAACGGUGGAAAUAAAUAAUAAUUAAUUAAUGUUUGAAUCUCGAAUUUACUAAAUUAACGAACUUGUAAUUUCAUUGGAAUAUACUUGACUCAGUGGUAGCUUUAGUUUCAACUUGGAAAAUGUCCGUGAUAUGACAAUUUUUCCAAAACAAGUUUAGGUUAAGAUUUUUAUUUUUUAUUUUUGACAUAAUAUACGUUAAGAUUCUUGUGUACUAAUAGAAACUGAAAAAUCAUUUUGGUGCUUAAAGUUUAAUGAGUUGGACAAAUUAUUCACUCAAAUAUGGAAAUGAUAAUGUAGUCUCUUCAAUUAUAGAAUGCCAUUUAAUUUAGUUACCUUUUCAAAAUUAGCAUCACAAUUCGCAAGGUUUUAUAUUUGUGUUGAUGCAUCAGUUAAGAUAAGGAUCACGAAAAUUAGGUUUUUGACUUGGUUUUGAUUAGGGGUGUUUGCGGUGCGUUUUGGUUCGGUUUUGAGCAUAAAAGUCAUCUAAACCUCAAGAUAAAAAAGCAUGCGGUUUGGUUUGAUUCAGUUGAUUUUUAUAUAGUCAUCCAAACAAAACCAAACCAAACCAAUGCGGUUUGGAUUGGUUCGGUUUGUACGGUUUAUCGCGAGAUGAAAAAAUAUUACAUUAACUCUAAUAUUGCCAACUUGUUACAAAAUAAACAUAGGACAUUUUAUUUUGUUGUUUAUAUGAUAAAAUAUUAGGUAAAACUUAUAUCAAAAUAGGUAAAAUUAAGAAGAAACAUAAGCAUGAAACAAAUUAUUGAGAAGUAAAAGAAACAAAUUCAUCACUGAAAAUGAAUUGAAAGAGAUGGAAAGGAAUUAGAAUCGAACCAGAUGGUGCAACAAUGGAAAAAUCUAAUCAAAUGAGAUUAUUCUUGAGCUAUGUAAUUGGGCUAGUACAUGUUUAAGUAAUAUUCAUUAUUCUUGCGGUUUGGUUUGGUACUUGAGAUGCAAACCGCAAACCAAACCGAACCGCGCGGUUCAGUGUAAAAGUCAUCCGAGUUCAUUCGAACCAAGUGCAGUUUUUUGCGGUUUCGGUUUGGAUUGGUUUGGUUUGCGGUUUUUCUAUUGGGUUCGUUCGGUUUUGAACACCCCUAGUUUUGAUCGAUGUUUCCUGAAGAUAUGUUUUGGUAAUUGAACUAAAUAAACUGUCUUACAUUCUUCAAUUAAUGAGAUUAAAUUUCCUUUUUACAAAUAUCAAUGAUUAAUGUCAAGGACUAAAAUGAUGAUUAGUGUCGCGCCAUUUUUCGGAGGUCAAGGCCAUUUGAUUAGCUUUUGACUCACUUUUUAUCUCACGACUGAACAAAAAAUUUUUUAAAGGGGAAAAAGUUUCAAACCACCCAUUUUGAAAAGAUUUAGGGUUCAUGGGUUGGUUAUAUUUAGGGAAGGUAUUAGCACCCUAAAUAUUCGUAGUACUCUAUGAGUACCUCUUGAUUUUAUUUAACUUUUUGUGCUUAAACUUGCUUGCUUUUGAAGAGAUGAAAAUAGAAUUGAAAGAUGAGUUGAAACGAAAAAGAAAAUUGAUUUUAAUUGAAAAGAAAAAAGAAAAUUGUUUUUUAGUUGAUUUGGAAGGACAAGGUCCUCUGCCUACGUACCCGUGAGGGAUCAAAACCUCGUAGUUCGGGGUAGAAAUUGACGUUUGAUUGGUUUUAUAUUUUUUAUUAGUUUUUGAAAAAAGGUUUGAAAUAAAAAGCCAAGUGGCAAAUGAGAAUUGAUUUGUGUUUUUUGGAUUGAAGGAAAUAGACUUGAAGUAGAAUUAAAAUUGAUUUGAGAUUUGAUUAAGAAAGAAAAUAGAAAUAGCGAUCACUUCAUUGAAAGUCAAGGUUUGUUAUAAAAAUAUUUUUUUGUGAUUUUUUGAUAUUUGGAUGUUUUUGCCGUUUUUGAAUAAUGAAUGAAAAUUAAACUAACAGAGCAAUGAAAAUAAAAGUGCGUGGGCGUGAAGAAAAGAUUUUGGUUUAUGUUAGUUCGACAAUAUAAAUAGUAUUUAAUAUAUGUUGUGUUCACUUUGGAUAUUAUCGGACAAAAUUUUGACAAUAAUAAAAAUAAUAAUAGUAAAAUAGAAUAAAAAAUAGAAAGACUAAAGUGAAUCAAAAUGAGAUAAAAAGAUAAAUAUUUAAAACGGAUUUAAAGUUAAUAAAAGAUGGAAACUAAAAUUAAAUGAAAUUUGAAAAUUGAGAGAAGAGGGUCCGACUUGGAACCAAAUAUGAGGUAUUUUAAAAUACCUUCCUAUCGAAAUUUUGUUCGAAAGGCUGAGACCGGUCGGAGUUAAAUGACACGUGUCAGUGCUGCCUUAGGUCAAAAAUUGGGGUAUGACAAUUAGCUCAAUAAUUAAUUAUUGUGAUUUCUUCAUUUUAUAUUUAUAUUUAAGAAUAAAAAAAAAAAAAUGACGAUAUCAACUUUGACACAUUACAUAUUCAAUCAAUGUUGACUUGACCAUCAAUGCUACAUAUCCGGAUGUAAGAGUAGUUCGACGAGUUUAUUUUUGUCACUUUUGUUGAUAUUUUGUUGGUUUAUGCUAUUAACUUGCAUCUAGUAAACUUGUUCAUAGCUUCAUCAUUUUCAGUUUUAGUGACAUGAUAUUUGUGUUGUAUUCAAUGUGAUUUACCGCGCGAUAUGAAUAAUAUAUAUUUUUAGUCAAAAUUAAUCAUGUCGGACCUGAGAUCUUUGGUUUGAUGGCGUUGAACGACCUUUGAGUAAGACAAUGUUAAACCAAAAUGAGUUUUAUACAAUGCCUCUGAAGUUUUGAUAAUAACAAAGUAUAAAAAGAACAAUUGAAUAUGCCAAUGUUGUUCAAGUAUGCUCGACCAUAUAUUAAAAUUCAAAGUAUUAAAUCAAGUUUUGAUUCUGAAAGAACAAGAUUAUGAACAUAUACAAGAGCAUCUGCAACUUAUGAGAAGCUGGAAAUUUGGAUCAGACUCUGAAUAAGUAAGACUGUGAAAGUCGGGAGUGUAACACCCUGAACCCCACAUACUAUUUUUAAAAGUAAUAAUUCAACAUUUAAAUAAACAUAUCAAGAUGUUACUCUUCAUUUUCAACACAUAACAAGUCUCCAUCUUAAAAUAUCAACUCACAGCGGAAAUAAGUCUCAACAACACAAAUGUCAUACAUCAUAUCUCAGAAUAAGUACAUCAUCAAAAUAAACUCAAGGUUCCUCAAACAUAAUAUGAUAACAUAAAUAAAAUCCCAACAUCCUAAUCAGAGAACCACUAGACAAGACUCCAAAAUCAAAGCGGUAAAAGAUGAGUAGGCUGCAAGCCGUCCUCGGAAACUCAUGGUAACUUUGCGUCCUCAACCUGCAAGUCUCCACCACAAGGGCGUAGGCGACCAUUUGCCAAACGUAGGGUAAGAUAUAAAUUUAACAUAGAGGAAAUAUGAACACAUAUAUAGUAUUAGGAUCGCAACAUCAUAUACAAGUAUUCAUCUUAAGCAAUACCAUAUUAACAUGCAUUCUCAUUGAUUGGUAAAAUAUACACAACAAAUCUCAAAUCAUCAUCACAAGAAUAUAAAAAAGUAAACACAUCAUUGAUUAAUCAUCCAAUGGAAUACAUAGGAUUCACACAUUAUCACUUUCAUUAAAUCACACAUUUUCCAUAAAAUACACAUAGUCAUGUAUGCAUCUUUCACAUAGAUUCACAUAGUCAAGUACUCAUCUUCUACAUAGACUCUCAUGUACGAAAUGUUCCUACUCGACUUUAUAUGCAUGUGGUACUGUUUUCGAUAUCAGAGGUAUUUUCUGAGUGAUUUCACCGUCACUUGGACUGACCAUGAAUGCAUGAACAUCUCAUCAUGACUCGACAAUGCAUAAUUCAUAUAACUCGACAAUUUACAUCAACAACAUCAUCACAUCGUAUAUUAAUUCAUCGUCGCUAUAUCAUCAUCAUCAUCAUCAUCAUCAUCAUCAUCAUUUUCAAUGUCAUUAUAUCAUCAUCAUCAUCAUCAUAUCAACAUCUAUAUAUAGUUCAAAUCAUCAUGUCAAACCAUAUCAAUAUGUAUCCACCUCGUCUCGCAAUCACAUUCACAGUCAUCAUCAUUAUAUAUUCAUAAGACAUUAUUCUACAUCAUCAAGUAUACUUCGUUAAUCAUCUAACAAGUUCACAGUCAUUUCAUGAUUCAAUUAUAAUUAAAUCACAAGUUUAUUUCUAACCAUUUCAAUUGCUAAGUUUACUUCCAUCAUAAGCUAGGUUAAUUACUCUUACACAUCAAAAUUAUACUUCUAUUAAUCAAGUUUAGAGGUUUGUGACAUAUUCACAUGCAUUGGAUACCUUAAAAUACCAAAAAUAUGAGUUUCCCACUAUAGGGAGGGUUGCACGGUAGUGCCAUCCAGGUGCACAGUCGUGCUCAUCAUGCAGGUAGGGAAAAGCUAUAAUUUUUGCGUUUUGCUCAGGAAGAACCCCUUUCAACACCAUUUUUCGAUCCAAUUCACACCAAACUAGACCCAAAUCAUAAAACUAAUGUUGUCUAAUCAAUUACACAUUAAUUUUACCUUAACUAACUUUAUUAUACUCAUUAUUAUCGUCAAUUAACAUGAACUUCAAUUGUUUUAAACUUAUCACUUCAAACCCAUUUUUAACAUGGUAAUUCAAACCCCAAACAUAGUAACAACCAAAUCAACAUCCCUUAUUCAAAAUGAACACAAAAAAAUUCAUCAAUUCACAUUAUAAACAUCAACUCAACAAUUAUCAACAAUUAUCAUGAAUUUCACCAAUUUCACAUAAAACUCAAAAACCCUAAUUCACCAUAAUCAAACAUUGAUUUUAACACAACUGUUAGGUUUGUAGUCUUGACAUGUUGGUGCGACAUCAUAGCGUGCCUUGUUCCGAUUUCUUGGAGAUUGUAUUUAAAUGUGAAAUCGCAGAAGAAAACUAAACGCAUCACAACUAAGAAAAGGUAGAAUAAAACCUUUCUACAAACAAAGCGCACAUCACUUGAAAGCAAAAUAAAUACGCAACUAAAUUUCAAAAAAGAUAUGCAUAAAUUAUCAUAGAAUAAGGCACCAAGUAACACGUUCUUACGUCUCAGAUUACCAAAUGGCUCUCCGAAAAAUAACCAGAGUAUGAUAAAAUUACAGAUUUCCCAAAACAAAAGGAACAUAAACUAAAAUACAAAGCACGAAAACAAAGAAGACACAACAACAUAACUCUUCAUCCACUAACUUUCCAUCAACCAAAAUCUUGGAGGGGUCCAGCUCGCUCACAUUAUCAUCAGGGUUAAAAUGCAGAACUUGCGCCCUAGUAUGCUCAAAGCCAUUGUCAAAAUAUAAGGCAAGAUCCCCCUUGCCAUCCUCAACGACGAAUUGAGCUUUGGCGAGAUCCCCUUACAACUAGACGACCUUCUUCUUCCAUGAAUCUCUCUCCAGCUCAACAACUUCUUUUUCAUCCUUCAUAUCUUUGGUCGUCUUCUCUGCAGUCUUCUUAUCCUCCAAGGCUUCCUUCAACCUACUUUCAAGACCCGUUGCUUUAUGCUUCCACUUCUCCACAUCUUCAUGAGCGUCUUUAUACUUUGCCUCUAAAGCACCAUGUUUCUUCUCCAUCACUUUUCCUAAUAAAAGGACCCGGAGCACUAAUAUUCUUGUAUCCAUUACUAGCUCGCCAAAUUUGCUUUUAACGCCAGCAUCAACGUCAACCUUAGACAGUGGCACUUUAUCCUCCAUGUAGCUACGAUAAACGCAUGACUUAAAAGUUGAAAACCCACUAACAUUACUAGAAUUUAAGUAAAAUCUCAUCAUCAAAUUAAACUCUCAUACCUACGAAAGUCGAAAUCUUUAUGCCAAAAAGAGUCAGCCACCUGAACAUUCAGAGAAAUGGUUCCCGCCACCCCGCUAGCAUAAUCAUCAUCCUUCCGACUGGCAACAAAUGUCCGCUUCGAGUCGCCCUUCCCAGUCCUCAUCUUCUUGCGUCUGGGCGAGUCAGUUUGCUCAGCCAGUACCCCAUUGCCUGCCGUCUCCAUGUUAUCAAUGUCCAUAUCCGAAUGUAACAUCCUAAAAUUUUAAGUCUAUAUUCAAAUGUAGUUAAAAAUAUAAAACAUAAUAGUGUAAUUAUUUUAAAAUACGCGAAGAUAAAAAUAAAGACAAAUAAAUAUGAUAUAAUUUCUUAUUAAUAAUUAAAUUUUAUUGGAUAAAAAGAAAAGGAGAAAGAAAGAAAAACAAAAAUAAAGGGAGUGCAAAUAACAAUUAUUUUUAGAAAAGAAAAAAAAAGUUAUAUACUUUCUCGAAUUUUUUUUCUGCCCUUGUUUAUGCAAAAAAAUACAAAAAUGCCCCACUUUUUCGAAAAAUUGCGUAAAUGCCCUACUUUUUCAGAAGCCCCUGGUACUACUCCACUUGGAGUUGCGGGGUACCCUAAAAAGUCACAAUUUUUUUGUCCUUAUUGUACGCCGCUACUUGGACUUGCGGGGUACUUUCCUACUUUUUUUUUUCCACUUUUUUUACUACCCCGCGAGUCUUAGCUUUUGCUUUUUUUUUUAAAAUUUUUUUUUUUUAAAUACCCCUCUACUUGGAGUAGAGUGGUAUAAUGAAGACAAAAAAAAUUCAACGUGUAAUAAUUACUCUCAAAUAAUAAAAAACUAAUUAAAAUUAUAUAACCAAUAAAAUACCAUCUACAAUGAUUAUAAAUGCCCGGCUGUCCCACACCUUCGUCUUCGACGAUCUCUUCCGCGAUUUACUUGAGGGUUAUGUUGGUCUUCGUCAUUUUUAUUUGUAGUUGAUUGUAUCUGACUACCAUAACCCAGUGACAACGACACAUCGUGUUCUCUUGUUGGCCAUCCCAUAUCCAGAAAUUGUUCAUUGGAGUUCAACGAAGUCGGAGAGAAGUGAGAUAAUAGGUUUGUUGGUGUUGGUGGGUGGUUGUAGUUUUGGUUGGUGUACAUUGGGUAUUGUGGGUUGUUGUAGGGGGGUAAUUGGUGUUGGACGGUCCAGCUUGGUUUGGGUCAUUAUAGGAGAAGUAGUUGUUGUUGGAUGUGUUAGCUUGGUUUGGUUCAUUGUAACCAUAAUUUGUCAUUGAAUUUUGUUGGUAAGUUGACUGAUAUUGGGGCUCAUAUGCAUUUCUCGGGGAGGUAUAUGGUGGUGGUUGGAUGAUAUUUUGUUGGGGGGUGUCGAGAAAUUCAUACAUUACAGAACCAUGAAUGUUUUGUGUUGUAUGUGGUUGGGAUUGAUGAUCUUGUAGUUGAGAAAAAAUGUCUUGAUCCCAAAAAUCAUCAUGAAUUGGUGUUUGGUUGUUGUGAAUUUCAGGUUCAUGUUCCGGCUCCGGCUCUUCUUGUUCGUCUGGAUCUGAAUCUGAUGGUUUUGUCUCAACUGAAAUCCUUAGACGUGGGUUGCAUGUGGUUGUCAACCACUCAAUAUACGCAUGAGUUGGGGUGAGUGAUCUUGGCCGCAUGUGAGGUAAAAUAUAACUCCGUCGGUUGUCCCAAUGUAAGCUCUCUUGUGGAAAGUGAAAACCAUUUGAUUGGUACCACAUCUUGAACCGUUUGUCCACUAUAUGGAAUUGUCGCAUGUCUCGUGGGGCCCCUGGUAUUUCCUGUGGCAAACCAAAUUCUAGCUUGACCCUAUCAGUUGGAUGCCAUUCAACUCUGUCAAAACAUAUAAGGUGAGUUGUUGCAGUCCACUCCCAAUAGUCUUCAGGAAAAUUGUGUGGAACAUUCUUGUAUGGUCUCCAUUUAAACUGGCAGAAGAGAGAAGUUGUAGUGUAAGGUUAACAAUUUUGAUAUAUAUAUAUAUAUAUAUAUAUAUAUAUAUAUAUAGUUCGAUAGGUGAAAUAUAUAUUCAUUAUUAAUUAAAUAACUCCUAAUUAAAUACUUGUAAAAAAACUCAUGAUUAAAUAAAUAAUUAAUUUAUAAUCGCGACAUUUUUUUAGUCCUAUAUUAAUUGCAUGUCCUACUUUUUUUUUUCUUACAAAAGAAAGUUAACAUAUAGCUUUUUAUUUCUUUACGACCAUGAAAGUGUUAAUAUGUAGCUUAAAUAACAAAAUAUCUUAAUUAUAUUUAAUUAGACCAUGAAAGUUAGUUUACCCUUGAAAUUACAUAAAAAAAAAAUUACCGUUCAAUAUAUAUAUAUAUAUAUAUAUAUAUAUAUAUAUAUAUAUAAACUCAUACAUUCAAAAAUCAAUUAUAAUAUUACUUGAUGUUCCAGUAUGUCAUCAAACUUUUUUCUGUAAGAUAUAGUGUCAUGGCUUGGAUUCUCGUAGUAUCUUGAACCUGCACCUGUCCAUCUAACAAAUGAUAUAAACAAAUUAGUAGCUAAUUUAUCAAAUAAUAAUAUUAAUAAGAAGCGAGAAUAUGCGAGGAAAUUAACAAAAAAAAUAAAUAAAUUAAUUGACCACGAUUACUUUAAUCCUAGCGGCUACUGGAGUGGGUUAUCAUUUCUCGGAGCGAUAUAACUCAACCGACAAUAUCCCCAAACUUGUAACAGAAAAUGACAUCCAGAUAGUGCUUUUAUAUUUGGGUGUGAUGCCUCACACAAGCCACGAUAAAGGUAAGCCAAAACUGCCGAUCCCCAACUAUAAUUUCUUGUUUCAUUAAAAUCCAUUAACAAAUACAACCAAGAGUUGUGCACAAAUAAUCCAGUUGUAUUAGGAAACAAGAACCCUCCAAAGAGGUAUAGUAGGUACCUCCUGUGUGUUGUAUUUUUACCUCCGGAGGAGAUUGUUCACUGAAGUUAUUAUCGACCAGAUUAUCCUUUAAUCACGACAACGAGAGAGUAAAACCAUCAGUUUUGUGUGCUGGAGGAGUUAUUCCCAACAAUUGAGCACAAUUAUUCCACAGAAGAUUUGGAGGAGCCGUAACAAUUGGUCCUCCAAAAGGUAAGCCGAGUAAAAUAUAUACGUCUUCAAACGUGAUUGUACAUUCACCCGUUCGAAAAUGAAAAGUAUGUGUUUCGGACCGCUAUCUUUCUACAAGAGUGGUUACGAUGUGCCUAUCAAUUUUGUAACGCCCUAUUUGAGAAACCUCAAAAAAUCCAGCUUGACGUAGAUAAUCUUCAAUAUAAGGACUUGGUAUGAUGUUUUGCCGUGUACGAGUGGUUAGAGGUGCACCCUCUGCAUCCUAACAAAAAAUAAUAAAGGAAUAAAAUUAAAACAUAAUCAAAAUAUAAAUUUAAAAAAACGUGAACAUAUUUAAAUUAAUAUUAAAAAAUAAAAAUGACAUUAACAAAUUAAUAUCUAUAUAUACCCAUCUUCUUAUAUGUUCUUCCAUGGAUCUAUGAUCAUUUUCCAACCACAAGUAUGCCAUUGCUUUAUAGAAUUUGAUUGAAAUAAUCUCUUAUGUGAGUGAGUAAGGAAAGGAUUGAGAUAAGUAGAAUAUGUGUAAAGAGUAAAAAUAUAGUUGUGGUAUUUAUAAUGUAAAACUAUGUGUAAAUGGUAGAAGUAGUAGUGUGGUAUUUUAAUCAAUGAAGUGAAGAGUUCCUGUGUUACUACUGCAACGCAUGCAAGCCAACAGUGUUCAAAUAAACAUAGAAAUGACAAUUGCAUCAAUAGCAGAAGCAUGGUGUUCAACAAUAUUGAAUUAAUUCGUAAACUUUGCCUCAUGAGAUGACCAUUGCAUGUAAAAAAUACAUUAAUUUCUUGCAAGAAAUUUUUGACUGAAAUGACCAAUGCAUGUUUUGAUCACGUGAAGCAUGCUAGCAAACAAAUGGCCGACAAGCUGCCUCUGAAUAACCAAUAGGAACGGCGCGUGCAAAUACUACCCCGCCACUCUGGGUUGCGUGGUACCCCCAGCUGGCGCAUGCUUUACAUACCCCGCCACUCCAGCUUGCGUGGUACCCCCCAGCUGGCGCGUGCUUUACCUACCCCGCUACUCUAGCUUGCGUGGUACCCUCUAGCCCGCUAGUCCAAACUGCGUUGUACCUUUUUUAAUUUUCCCGCUCGAAGGGCAGAUUAAAUUACAUGUUAGUAUAAAUAAAAGUGGUCUGCAUGAUAUCAUUGUAUCAAACCAUUCUACUUCAUACUCUUACUCAUUUCUUAAGAUCAAACCAAUUCAAUGGCACCAAAUAUAAACGUUUUUGUGUACUAUAAUGGAGAAGUUAAACAAAAUGAAUCCGGUAUUUUUUUUCAAAGUCAGUAUACCAAAGGUUUUAAAGUCAGCAUGGCUAGUACUUACUUGCAUCUCAAAAGAAGAAUUGCGGAAAAAGUAUGUCUCGAAGAUAAUAUGGUUGUGUCUGAAAUUAUGUGUCGGAAUCCUAUGUUUGUUGGAACUACCACAAUUCAUUACCAGGCGUUAAGAAUAACUGAUAACGACGAUGUCGAGUUUAUGUUUAACGUACAUAAAAGUCACAGUUCUUUGUCCUAUAUAGAGCUUUAUGUUACGUUUGAGAUGAAGAAUCCAACAUCUAAUUUUGAGUUAAAUUACCCAUCGAGUUCUAGUCAACACCAAAGUCUACCACAACACUACAAUCCGUCAUCGUCGCAAGAACACUACAACCCAUCAUCGUCCCAACCGCACUAUAACCCGUCUCCCAUUUAUGAUGCAUCCUUAUCGCAACCUUUUCAGUCAAAGUGGUCACAAAAUGUGUACGAACCAUCACAAAUAAUAACUCAACCUCAUCCCUCUCAAACACCAUCUCGUUCAACACAACCCAAAACCUUAAACGAUGAAAUCAAUAUAUUCACCUCCCAAUUUCAAGACCAACCAAAUGAUGAAGUUCAAGAUGAUGAAGACGAUGAUGAUGAAGAACUCCUUGCCGCACAAAACGGUGACGAGAACGAAGAAGACGAAGACGACGAUCUGCCACUACUACCAAUUUUACCAAUCAGAGCUUCUUACAACCCACCAAGGUCCAUGCGCAACGUCAAUGAUGACCACUCAACUGAACUUUAUCAUUCAAUGGCUCUUCCGGUCGAUCAAGGUAUUGCCCUAGGGAUGCAAUUUCAUAACAAGAAUGAUUGCAUUCUCGCAAUUAAAUUUUAUCACAUGAAAAAAUCAACGGAUUAUAUUGUGAAAAAAUCAGAUCCUGAAAGGUAUGUCAUCAAAUGUAAAGAUACAAAAUGUGGUUUCAAAUUGCGGGCCUCGUGGAGGAAAAAAACUGAUAAAUGGGAGAUUGGGAAAAUGAAUGAUCAUACAUGUGUCUCAACAGAAAUGACGCAAGAUCAUCAUAAACUUAGUUACAAUGUGAUAUGUGAAAGUGUUAAAUCACUACUACAUAUGGAUACUUCAAUUACAGUGAAGGUUAUAAUUGCACACAUCCGAGAGAAGUUUAAUUACACAGUUUCAUACAGAAAGGCAUGGAGAGCACGGAAUAAGGCGAUUAAAUCAAUUUAUAGUAAUUGGGAGGAGUCUUAUGAAGAACUACCACAAUGGUUGAUGGUCAUGGAAAAAGAUUUGCCAGGAACAAUAAUUGAUUUUCAAACGGACCCAUCAACAGAAGUGGCAAAUGAGACCGUCUUCAAGCGUCUUUUUUGGGCCUUUCGUCCGUGCAUCUCAGGUUUCGAAUUCUGCAAACCAAUUGUCCAAAUUGACGCAACUUGGUUGUAUGGUAAAUACAAGGGAACAUUGUUGUUAGCUGUUGCGCAAGAUGGGAACAACAAGAUAUUUCCCAUAGCUUUUGCAAUCGUGGAAGGCGAGACCAAGGAGGCAUGGAGUUUCUUUUUGAAAAAUUUAAGGCAGCAUGUCACCCCACAAGAGAACAUAUGCCUCAUUUCUGAUAGACAUGUGUCGAUAAAGAGCGCGUAUGAUGAUCCACAGAAUGGAUGGCACGAUGCUCCGACAAGCCAUGUUUAUUGUGUCCGACACAUUGCACAAAACUUUAUGAGAUCAUUCAAGGAUGGAGAACUAAAGAAGAAAGUUGAAUGCAUGGGUAAAAAUCAUAUCUCUUUCCACGUAAAUUCGACAUUUUAUUUGUUUAAAAUGACACAUCUAACUUUUUUCAAAACAAUGCAGGUUACGCCAUGAACAUCCCUACAUUCGAAUACUACCGUUCUGAAAUUGCUGUUGCAGACCGAAAGGCUUUAGCAUGGGUCGACAAUAUUCCCAAACAAAAGUGGACUCAAUCACAUGAUGAUGGUCGACGAUGGGGCCAUAUGACAAGUAACUUGGUAGAGUCACAAAACAACGUGUAUAAGGGUAUUCGAGGACUUCCGAUCACAGCUAUCGUGAAAGCAUCAUAUUACAGGUUGGCGGCCUUGUUUGCUAAAAGAGGACAUGAGGCAGCGGCAAGGGUAAAUUCUGGUGAGCCAUUCUCAGAAAACAGCAUGAAAUAUCUCAGGAAUGAGGUGAUUAAAUCCAACAGUCAUCAUGUCACACAGUUUGACCGGGAUCGGUAUACCUUUUCCGUCCGUGAAACCAUCGACCAUAAAGAAGGAUUGCCAAAGGGAGAAUACAAGGUGGACCUGCAAAAUAAAUGGUGUGACUGUGGACGAUUCAGAGCGUUACACCUACCAUGCUCACAUGUCAUUGCCGCAUGUUCUAGCUUUUCUCACGACUACAAGACUUUUGUCGAUAACAAAUUCACGAAUGAGUGUGUAUACGCCGUAUACAACAUCCACUUCGACGUGGUUCACCACCAGACAUAUUGGCCUAAUUAUGAAGGACUGAAGGUGGUUCCCAACAAGUCCAUGUGUAGGGUAAAGAAAGGUCGUCCACCAAUUACUCGCAUUAGGACCGAGAUGGACGAUGUGGAAACUGAGAGAAGAUGCGGCGUUUGUAGGAUGCCUGGUCAUUCCCGCAAAGAUUGCAUUAAUAUUAGACACCAGUAAAAAUCUAGUCUUUAUUUCGUUUGUAGGAUGUAUGGUCAUUUCCACAAAUAAUUGUAGAUUUUAUGGUAUUUUAUUGGUUAUAUAAUUUUAAUUAGUUUUUUAUUAUUUGAGAGUAAUUAUUACACGUUGAAUUUUUAUUUUUUUUUGUCUUCAUUAUACCACUAUACUCCAAGUAUUUAAAUUUUUUUUUAAAAAAAGCAAAAGCUAAAACGCAAGUCCAACUUGCGGGGUAGUAAAAAAAGUGGAAAAAAAAAAGGAAAGUACCCCGCAAGUCCAAGUAACGGGGUACAAUAAGGACAAAAAAUUUGUGACUUUUUAGGGUACCCCACAACUCCAAGUGGAGUGGUACCAGGGGCUUAUGAAAAAGUAGGGCAUUUGCGCAAUUUUUCGAAAAAGUGGGGCAUUUUUUUAUUAUCUUUGCAUAAACAAAGGCAGAAAAAAAAAAUUCUACUUUCUCCCCACGUUUUCUCAAAAUUUGUUUCUAAAAUAAUAAUAAAAAAAGAAAUAGUUAUUUCAGAAAGAGAAACCGUGUGAUAUUUUUUAAUUAGUGUACACCUACACUUCUCAUGUGCCUAUAAAUAAGAUGCUUAGUUGAACAUAAACUCACACUACAAAACUCUCCUCUCUCUAAAAAAUCAGGUUAGUUCUCUCUCUCUCUCUCUCUCUCUCUCCUUUUCUGAACUUUCUCUAUUCAAUCUAUAGUCAUUCUUUAUUCUUUUGAAAGAGACAAGAUUUACUACUAAAAUAACCUCAGAUUUGGUCCCCACAACCCUUCUUUUGGGAAGAACAACAACAUAGUAUACCCUUCUUUUGGGAAGAACAACAACAUAGUAUUAGAAUGUUCUUUUAUCAGAUGAGAAAGUGACAGUAGUUUAGUUCUUUUCAACCUAAUCAAACCAUGAAAAUAGUUUAGCUCUUUUCAACCAUUCUUUUUCAACAGAAACAUCAUUCAAUAAAAUAAAAUAAAGAGAUCUCAGAUCUGUUUUAGACUUUUAGUAGAAAAAAUUACACGAUUUAAUUAUUGUAUUUUUUAUACUGAUACAAACUAUGAAGAUUGAAACAAAGUUCAUAAGAAAGUUGAGAUCUUGUUUAAUUCAUAUUUUUAGUUUAAAGAAAAAUAAAGAAAUGAACAUUGUUUUAAGAAUGACGUAAUGACUAUUAAAUGGCUUUUAAACAUUCUGACUAUAUAAAAAGGUAGUAACAUAAGUUUCAUUUGAAAUAAAAUAAAAUCAAGCUAUUAUUAAAAUAUAUCUAAUAUAAUCUGAAGAAAAAAAAAGGACGUGAUACAGAGAAACAAAGGAAUUAGAAAACUUUAACUCGUUAUCUCUAUUAUUAUGACCUUGAUAAUGACUAUAGUCUAAUAGAUAGUUUAUUUUGGGUGAGUAUUCUAGGUGAUAUUGGAGCUGCUUUCGACGGAAACAAUAUUGCAACCACUUGCGAAGAAUCCGAAGGUAAGGGGAAUUACUACUAAUAAAUUUUAAAGAUUUUGCAUAAGUUAUGUGCUUAAGUGAUUAUAUGUGAGUAAAUAACUCUACUUGUGAGAGUUAAUUUCUCGAUGAUGUGGUAAUUUCUAGCGAUCAAGUACAUGUCAAAGGACAUCGACUUAUAUGUGUUUUAGUUAAUAUAAUUAGGAGUUUUUGAAAAUAUAAUACAUAAGUAGAAGAAAAAGUUUUGUAAAUGAUGAAUUGAUUAGAUAGUUAUAUUAUGUUUAUUUGGUAUUACUCUUGUGUAAGUGAAUGAGCAUAUGAAUUUCAAUAAGUGUUAACUGAUUUCGAUGAGUGAAAUUAGUUGGAAAUAUAUGAUUUAAAGUGUCAAUUAUGAUUCGACGCGAUAAUUUAUAAUGUUAAUCAUGAUUAAAAACUUCUCUAUAAAAAGAAAUGAUCUAAGAGAGAUAGUUGUAUCCCACCUCAUUAAUUUUAUGGUAUCAACUCAUAGGUAUGUUGUAAAGGAAAGAAACUUAAGAAUGCCAAACUAUGAUCACUAACUUAGUACGUAGACAUAGUAUAUAUAGUUAUAUUGUACGUGUAGGAAAUUCUUUAAAACAAAUGUAUAUGUGCUUUUUAACUAGGCAACAUGAAUUAUUCUUUGUUAAAAUCUCAUGAAUAAAAAGAACAUGUACUAGUUUAAUUGAAUUACCUAAGUUCUUACUUACUGCUGAAAUUUCUAUGCUUAUAAAUAAAUGAAAAAGAACAUAUGCUGGUCAUUAAUUGUUCAGUUAUUAUGUACUGGCUUGAUUUACUUGCUGGAAUUUCUAUGCUUAUACAUAAAUGAAGAGGGACAUAUGCUGGUUAUUAUUUGUUGAGUUAUUAUAUACUGGUUUGAUUUACAUCACUGUACUAAUUGAAUAAAAUUCUGAUGUGGCUAAUCAAUUUUAUAAACAUAAAUGGUUAAUUGUUUGACAUUGUUGAGUUGAAUAUGAGUGUUUUGUCUUGUCUAGAAAGUAGGGACAAUUAAGGAGCUAUAACAGGUCCCUAUACACUCAGGUGUAGAUGAGAAUGAGGAUAGUUAUGGUUUGGUUACUUUGAGGAUCUAUCGAGGGCACUUGUGUUUCGAACGCCUAUCAAUAGUUGGGGAUUGCUUCCCGGCUGAAAGUACUCGUACUACCAGACACGGUGAGCCUGAAAAAACUAGACUAUCUAUGAUAAGGUAGUGCGAUCGGACUAGAAUGAUUAGAGUUUAAGCAUAUCUUGCUCAAAAUACUAAUAAUCAUGAUAUAGUUGCCGAAACGGCCUUAUGCUCAUUAGAGUGGAACCUCCAUGGAGUAGUGAAUUAUGAGAAGAAAAUAAACUAGAGUCAAGAAAAAAAAAGUCAAAAGAGUUCAUGCAUGUGUCAUGUUGAAUGUCAAACUAUUAAUUCAAAUUGGACCUCUUAAAAGAUAGUUUUUUUUUUUUUUUUUUUAUAAUAUGCUUUGUGAUUGUUGUUGGACAGUGAAUGAAAAGAAAAUAUUAUAUCUAUGUAAAUAUCAUUUUACCUUGCUGUAUAUAUAUUAUUUUCUUUUUCCUUAUGUAAUAAAUCACGUGGAAAACUUGUGUACGAGUAAUUCACCCUUCUUUGUUUGUUUUUGUAUCUUGUUGUUUUUUUUGGGUAUGUUCGGACGUUUUUAUAGAUGAUGCCAGAAAGACAUUUAGCUCACUCGGGAACCCGCAUGAUCGAGUUCCUUGAGGUAUUUUCUUUUGCAACACUUAUUAAAGAAGAAAGUAAUAAUAAAUCAAAACACUCACACAAAGACGCCUCAAGACUAUUGGAAUCACCCUAUCGUAUCAAAAGCUCAUGAAUAUCCAUAAGUAAAAACUUCUCCAAAAAGAACACCAUACCCUACUCAUAGGGUGCCAUCUUAUUAAAAUCAUACCCCAUCACUGCAAUCGGAGCAAUGAUCCAACAUAAAGGAAACUUUGGUUUUCCUUCCACCAUCACCAACGAAGUUGAGCCCUCAGGCUCUCCUUGCACCCUAACAAACGAAUCACACCAAUCCUUCUUAAAGUUAGAAGCAUAAGGAGGGAAAAGUUUUUUACUAGGAUAGGCACUAAUUGAAACCCACAUUCCCUUGUUUACAUCUUUCGUCCUAUAAAAAUGGAAGAAGACGCCAACAGAAGGCUCCAAACUCAUCCUUACAAAGUAGUUUGAAUCCACGAAUAAACGCCUAGCUAUUAGGACGUAUUUGCGAAGGCGCCACAUUCAGAAACUUUAGCACAUCCAUCUCAAAAUCCGUAAAGGGUCGUCACCCCAAACUCUUCCAACACCGUCAUAUACAUAAGAAAGGAAUCAUCCCUGACACCCUCCAAACGCUGAUCGCACACUCUCUCGCCUACAUCACAGGGCGACACUGUCACAUCUUUCUCGUUCUCAGUAGCAGAAGUAUCCAUCUUGUUUCAGAAUAAAUUGAUAUCCGAAGGCGACAUAUAUGAAAACACCGCUCGAAGAACUUCUUCAGCUAAAUGAUUCAUCUCCAACUCAUAAGAAUACGUCAAACACAUAAUCUCUUUUUGAGUAGACGGAAGAGGCAUAUAAUGACAAAUCUCUUGACAAGUUUUCCCCCUACGACAAAUCACUAUCACUACCAUUAGAGCUAUCGCUACUAGUGUUGCUAUCAUUGGACAAUUCCCCUAAAACCCUACGAUAAAAAAGCCCUAAUUCGUAAGCUUCCCAAUCAAUCAAGUCAUUAGGAUGUGUUGCAUGUCUUAAAGAAUCUCUCCUCAGUUGGUCUCUCUCAUCAAAAUUCGUAGGAGAGAAGGCGAAAAAUGAGAGAAGGAAAAUGGAAGAGUACUUGAGAAGAUUGAAAACGUGAGCUUAGAAAUCCAGACAAUCAGCUGGCAAGUGCGCGAAUACGGAGAACUAAAAGGCGAAAAAUGCGGAAGUGAAAUGAGGAAAGGAAGGAAAUGAAGGGUCAAAGAGUUUUAGAGGACAACAACAAUUAAAACCCCCUCAAAAAACACGCUCAUCCUUGGCACGAUUGGAGACACGUGUCAAGAUACACCCAGAUUCGAACACGUCACUAUCAUCGAAAGGUCACACAUUUUGGACCAUACAAUCAUGUUAAAAAUGAAAGAUCUCGUCGAUAUAGAAUUUCAAAAAACUCGUUGCCAACUCCUCAAACAGGAAACUUACUCGCCGUGCUGUUACAAAUCACUUCGCCUUGUCCCAAGACUCGUGGUUGGGGGCUGUGAACAAACAUCAGGCAUAAAACGCAUGACUCGACUAGCACACACCCUAGGGGGCUCUAGGAUAAAGCAUAAUCACCCAAGGGGGACUCUGUAAGCUCCAACAACAACAUCCAAAGACAUACACAAAAAAUACUGAUAAACGUAAAAUAAAUUCCAAAUGCUAAUUAAUCAUUUCGCCUUGUCCCAAGACUCGUGCUUAGGAGGCUUUGGACCGUCAAUAUCUUCUUAAGGACCUAGAAGUCCUCCCAAAGGGCAUUUAGACCCUCCUAGAUGCCUAACACCCUUCAAAAGGGCUCUAAGGCCCAACACGCGCCCUUCCUAGGGAGCCGCCUCUACCAGCUUCUAAAACCUCCAAAGCUCGGCCUAAAUACCUAAUACGAUUACAAACCCUAAUACCUCAUUACGUAUAGCUUAAGAACCAUAAAUCAGGCCAAUAGAGGGCUAUAAAUACAACCUUUGAGAGCCUUCUGAAGGCAUGACCAAUACAUUACAAACCCUAAUACGAUUAUUGUACUUUUGCAAGUACAAUGAGGAAGGCGAUAUUGACAGGGAAAGUUUCCACCUAAUUUGGGCUAAAAACAUGGACUUUUGGGGGUAAAAAAGUCACAAAAAGUGACUUUUUUCGCAAGGAGCAGGGCGCCUAGCGCAUAAUGGCAUGCACCUAGCUCAUGUUCCUGCUAGGCUGAGGCGCCUAGUGCCCCUUUCAUGCGCCAGACGCUUCAGUUGUUUAGCUUAGGGGCACCUAUUGUGCACCUGGGUGCAUAAGUGCCUUUUCAGUGCCUUUUCAGUGCUGUUUUUCUUGUUUUCUUUGCCUUUUGAGGUGUUUUCUUCAAUGUAAGAUGUCUUGGAACUUGAGAACAAAAUUCCUUCCUUUGUAAAGACUUCUGAGGCAUCUUGAAUCUUCAUUAUUCAUCUUCCCAAGGUCCACAUAAAUCUUCAAAUGUCUUGCAUUGUCUGAUUUGCUUGAUUUCUUCGUGAAUUACUUCAACAACACCCUAAAAUUGCUAUUUUUCAGGAAGAAUAGAAUUACAAACUCAAUAUAAAAUACAUUACAAAUGUACCGAAAUCAUAGGCAAUUGAUCAAAUACUCUUCUUCUUUGCUGGUAAAACCUACUGAAAUUGACUGAAAAAUGUAACAGCCCUAUUUUCGUUAGAUUUAUUUUAAUUGUUUUAAUAUGUGUUUAUUUAUGCUUAUGUGUGAUUAUUAUCAUUGGGUGCAUUUUUAUGGGUUUUCGUGUUGGAAGGAUAAUUUAGUAAUUUCAUGUAAGGAUUAUUUUUAGUGUUUCAAGUGAGAACCAUUAUUUACUAAGUUACUAGUGUGGUAAUUAGUUGUGAGCCGGUAAGUGAUCGUUGUUAUUAUUUUACCGUUAAGGGAGUAGAAACAUUUUAGAAUUAGUGAAUUAGUGGGUUAAGCCCACUAAGGCAUUAGGGUUAAACCCAAUUGAGAAGAGCCUAUAUAAGUUCUAGAUUUUAGAGAAAAAUAGGUUUCCACUUCAUUUCAUAAGAAUUUUGAGAGAGGUAGAGAUAGAAAGUUCAAGAGAAGAGGAAAAUGGUUAGAAGGGAGAAAAGCUUGAAGACUCAAGAGGUGAUAGAGAUUCUAGGACCUAAAUUGAAGCUUUUGCUAGGAUUUUUGCUAAUUGAGGUAAGGGGGUUAGAUUUCAAUCAUAAUAACUUAGUUGUAGCUUUUACCCUAAUUUCAUGUAUAAAUGCUUAUUUGUAUAAAGUGAUUAUUAUGAAAUUAAUUGAUGAAAUUCGUGGUUAUGCUUUGAUGUGAUGUUUGGGUAUGUGAAAUUGAUGUUAAUUAAGUUGUUGAUGAAGAAUUUACAUGCUCAAGUUAUGUAUAUAUGUAUACUUGUGUUUUUGCUCAAAAUUGAUGAAGUAUAAUGUUAUUGUUGGUGAAUUGUUGAUGAAUUCACUUCUGAUUGUUGUUGUUGUGAUUGUGAGUAGUUGUUGUUGAUGAUUGAAACCUUGGGUAAUCUUAACCAUAGAGCUUGAAGUGAGUUUCUAUUGUUCUUGAAGUUUUCAUGAAAAAUAGGUCAAAUGGUAAUUUUGUUGAAAUUAUGUUGGAUUCAAGUUUUUAUAUGGAUUUGAGUGUCUUUUCAUGUUUAGACAAACUUUGGGAUCAAAUUUGGGUAUUGGGUCAAAAUUGGGAUUUUGGGGUGAAAAAUGAGUUUUUUUUUGUAGUAGAACUCCAGAAGCCUGUCACAACUCGCCAUGGCGAGCGGGAGGCGAGCAGGAGGUGCUUCCUGUGUGUUAACUCCCCAUGGCGAGUGAUUCACUCACAGGGCGAGCUGCACAGUGACAUCAUUCCCUGUUUCGCAAUCUUGCGUCUUUUUCACAUAUUUUUGUUUUGAAUUGGUCUUUGGUAUAAAUAUGAAAGUUUUAGAUAAUUGUGUUAGCUUUCCAGUGGCGUUGGUUUGACUUGAAAAUGAUUUUUGGUUUUUGAGUUAUGAUGAAAAUACUCCAAGGAGGUCUUAGUGAAAUUUUAUGAAAAUUCCGCAUAACUAUUUCUAAGUCAACCCAAAACUUAUGGAUUGUUUCCAAACUUCAAAACUUGUGUACUAUGAGUUAAAUUAAUGUGUUUAAGAGUAUUUAAGCUACGUUGUGGUGAAUUUAACUUGGUUUUGUUUUGAAAGUGAAUUGGUUUUACAUUAUGAGUAAAGCGAUACGAACUUUGCAAAACUUUGAAUUUAAGUGAGUUGGCCUAUGGGACCUUGAUGUAUACACUAUUGCACUCAUAUGUGAUUGGUGUAUAUACUUAGUUGAGGUUUCCAAAUGUGUUUACCUUGUUUUGUCGGAUAACUUGAAAAUUGGUAAAAUGAUACGAACUUGUCGUAACCUGUGAUUUUGAUGAUUUUGUCGUAGUAGGCCGGUGAAACGCACAUGUAUAUUCAACUACACUCAUAUGUGAUCUAAGUGUAUACAUAGUCGAGGCCCUAGAGUUUAUUUACUUGGUGUUAGUUCAUUUGUCUCAAUUAUUUUAAAGUUGUAAAAUGAGAGUUGAACUUUGUCAAAAAUGGUUCUUUAAAGCCAAUUACCUUAUAAAUCUUUUGUAGAUAACUUUAUAUGACUAAAUGAAGAUAUGUGAAUGAAUUUUUAAUUGUUGAAUAUGAUAUUAUCAUAAGGUGUUGCAUUUUCUCUUUACUUGGAAUAUGAUAAGUAUUUGGAAUGGUGGAACUAUACUAUAUGGUUGAUGUUGAUUAAUAUUUAUAUAUCAAUUGAUGUUGAUGAUUACUGAUAAUUAUGAUGAAAAUGUGAUGAUGACUCUUAAUUGGAUUAUGACUUUAUUGUUGUGUGGACGUAAAUAUUUGAUAAUGCAAUUGUUGUUGAUGUUAUCCUUUAUAUUGUUGUUGAAUAUUUAUGAGGUGAUUUUGCAUUGUCAAGUCUUUCCUUGUAUGUCCAUGCAUCAUAGUCAUGUUGAGUCUUGAUGUUGUAAAGGAGGGUUACUCUUUUACUUUGGUGAUAAUGUAAGACGGGUGUGAAAUUUUACAUAUGAUGUUUUUGUUGCAUCAUGUGUGACGACCUUGAGGUGAUUUGGUACCACAUGCAUAUAUGUGUCGGGAUUAGGCACAUAUCAUAUUGGCGUGAGUCUUAAUUGAUGUAUUUGAAUGAUGAUUGAUGAUGAUAAGUGUGUUUGAUGAAUACAUACUUGUGAUAUUUAGAAUUGUUGCAUGAAUGUGUAUAUGGAAGUUAAUUGCUCAUGAUUAAUUAAUUGAUACUUGAUUUGAUUCAUUUAUGUCUAACUAUUUAUGUGGAUUAUGAUUGUUGUAAAGCUUACCCCUAGUGGUUUUGACCACCUACCUGUCUAUAUGGAUGGGUAGACGAAGUGCAAGAUUAGUCGCUUUGGUGAGUUGCUUGGUGAUUGCUUAGAUAGAGGGAGUUAUCUCCGUUAUCGUUUCCUUAGAGUCUUAGGAUAGGCUCUGAUCUAGGAUGUAUGUCUUAUGAUUAUUCUAGAUUGUUUAUUUUGGAUUUAUUUGUGUUGUGGAGAUUUACCCAAUUGUCGGAAUUUGAAGAAUUUUUAUGUUGAUGUAUUUUGACCUCAUGGCAUGUAUACUUUUGAAGUGUAUGGUUUAUAUCCGCUGCAACGGUAUAGAAUUUUUAUAUAUGCUUGUUAUUUGAACAUUGUUGAUGAUGUGGCGUCUAUUUCUUGGAUAUUUAUAUUAUUCGCGUGUUUUAUUGCUUUAAUAGAAAUAGGGCGCUACAAAAAACAUGCUAAAAAUAACGUAAGAUGUCCUGUCAUCAUACAACGAUUGAGAAAAAGAUAAAGAUUGUCUAAUACCCAAGACUUCUUACAUAACUAUUUCAUCAAAGCAGAAUAGUUCAAAAACUGGAAGGUGUGGGUUUUCAUGACCUAGGAAUACAGGUAGCUCAAGUGAUGACAACAUAAUUUAUGGGAAAUAUGAGAAUCAUCAAGUCUGUGGUAAUGUCAAAUGGAUUCUCAAUCAGAAAAGAAUGCAGAACCUUUAUCCCAGACUUUCCCUCGAUCAUCCAAGAACCAAAUACCAAAGAUCUAGCAGACCUAGUGUCACAAGCUUCUGAAGAUCUAAUCUGACAUGGACCAUGCUCCUAGGGCAUGGACCAUGCACCUAGGGUAGGGUGCGUUUCACAGUCACAUGCGCCUAGGGCAUGGAGUGUGCUCCCUGAGAACUAAAAAAGUGUGGGGCAAAAUUGAUUUUUUUUCGACUUUUGUGUUGUUAUUUUAUGUUGUGAUUUUCUCAGAUUGGAGUGGAGGUAGGAUGUGAGAGUUCAACAGAUCACCAUUUGUAUGACUGAACAGACUAUUCAGAAAAUCUGAAUCAGUGUUUUGAUAAAUGGUUUAGCUAGAGGGUAAUGAUAUAGGUGGCGAAGGAAUAAUGAUGGAUGGUACUGAAGAAAUGUUAACAUAUUAUGUAAGCUCAAGAUCAAUACCUUUUGUAUUAUGAGAUUCUUCUGCUUUGCCUGGUGAGGUUGGCUCAACGGUAGCUGUUGUGAGGUUGGCUCAACGGUAGCUGCUUCUGUGACUAGCAUGCUGACUUCUUCUGCUUGCUUCUGUUGCUUCUCUUGGUUCUCACACUCAUCUACAUCGAUGAAUAUUAGAUGACACAAAUCUUCCUUAGCAUGUACAUUCUUCUUCCUUUCUGGUGAGGGAAUGAGUGAGUGAAUAGUACCAGAGUUCCUUGUGAGCUUGGAAAAAUCCGUUUUGUAGACAGAUCACAAAGUCACAUACUCUUAAUUUGUCUCUGAGUCGGUUUUGGAUUGCCUCGUCUUUUUGGGUGCUUGAGAAACUUUCUCAUCACCUUUCCUCUUAACCUCGACUUUCUUUAACUUCUUUGUUGGAGGAGAUGUUGUGACUUUGGAUGAUUUCCUCUUAUUCUUCUUGUUGUCUGCAGUUUCUGAGUCACCAGGAGUUUAAUCCGGAAAGAACUAAUCCGCAACUAAUUACUAAUAUUUUUCAUUGAAAAAAAAUAAUUUUAAAUAAGACUGGUACCUUGGUCUGUUGUAAAUUUGUAAGAACUAAUUUGACAGACAAUGAUAUAACUCAAAGACUAAUUUAUUUGUAAGUGCAAUAAUUUUGUUACUAAUUUUUGACCGUAAAUAACACACAAGUUAGCAGAAGGACCAAGUUGUUCAAUAUAAUUCAAAAUGUGAUUGUUUUUGCCAUGGCAUCCCCCAGUUUUUCUAUAAUUACACAAGAUUCCCUUUGUCUCGAUGGUUAGGAAGUACAAUUUUCUUUUGGAUGUCUCGUGUCUGAGUCCUAAUUCCCCUCAUUUUUAUAUUUCUAUUAUAUUAUAUUUUAAAUUUUAUUAAAAAAAUGUUCUUGAGGGGGAAUCGAACACGCACCACUACACUGAAUUCUAGCAAAAAACUGACCCCUAGACCGGUUACUGAUCUGAAGAAUAUUAUGAAACAACUAAACAUAUAUUCCAUAAAUUUUGGCACCCCCAAGAUAAAAACUCAAGAUCCGCCAUUGCCUAACUCAAGGUCCUAAAUACGCCACUACCAUUAACUAUAAUUAAUAAGAGUGUUUUAGAAAAUGAAACAUAUUUUGAACAUAUUUCUUAUCAUUUCUUUAACAAUUAUGUAAAACUCAAAAGGAACCCUUAAUUUGAGACAGAGGAUAUAUAAUAAUCGAUGAAGUUUAAUAUCUGCAAAAAAGUGUUAUUAAGUGAAGUAAACUUAACAAGGGUGACACUUGUUUUCUUUUGGUAAGGUGUGGGAGCACUCUUGACUGAGUUUCUAUUUUUUUUUUUUAUAUUCUUUUGAAAGUUGUAGUGGUGUAAUUGGGUGGUUAGUUGAAGUAAUUUUCGUUUUGGUUCUUGCUUGAUCUAUUUUGCAUUGUGAAAUUUCAAUUCUUAGUUUGCUUUCUACAUUGACGGAGUUGCUAAGUUGCAAUCAAACUUUUGAGUGUGUAUUAAUUAUAACAGUAAGAGUGUUGCUAGCACUACUCUUAUAUAAAAUCAGAUGUAUUUUUAAAUUUAUUUAUUUAUUUUUUUUUUUUUAAUUUCUACGAAAGUGGUGCACUUUUCCAUGAAUAUGCUUUUAGUGCAACUCCUUACCAAUGUAGUCAAACAAUUUCUUAAAACUCAUUGUUAUUAGUCAUUUCGAAACAAUGUAUUCACCAAGACAAAGGAGUGGGUGGAAGGAUAAUGGGUGCAUGCACAAUCAAGAAAAAGUUAGGUGAACAUUACAAUCAAAAUAUAUAGCAUAGAGCAUCAAAAUUUAUCGUAUGAAACAAUGUUUUUCUAAAAUAUGAAUGUGAACAAAUAACCCUUCAACUCAUAAGAUGAUCUUUAAUAUAUAGAAUUAGAAAGUUAGAGUAUCAGUACACCGAAAUUUAUAUAUUCAAAAGUGAGGCGUAGUUGGUUUUCCUCUUUAUGUAGUAUAGUUCGGUUUUUCCAUUUUAUUAUGGUACUUAUUCCUAUCAAAUUGAUAAAUCAGCUUUAUCUUAUAAUUGAUUUAACUAAUGAUGACUUGAACAUCAAUAUUAUAUAUUCGGAUAUACGAGUACUUCAUCGUGCUCUUAAUUUAGAGAUGUUUUGAGUUUGUUUACAAAUUGAAUCUUUGAAUUUUAGACAUAGAACUUGUACUCUUUUAGAUAUAAUAUACCGAUUUGAAUGGAUAAAUACCGUAAUUCCAAACAUAUAUUUUUUUUUCACACACAUACCUCAUCCAUUACGAAACGCAGGAACUAAAGCUAUAUAAUAUAGUGAAGCUAAUUUAAUAAAAAAUAUAUAUAUUUGGUGAUGCUAAACUCAGUCUAACUUAAUGCCAGUUCAAAAGGAACACUGUGGUAUGGAGGAAUUCUUUGUUUUGCAUUUAUAAAUGGCAACUAUACCCUAUUAAUCAUCAUCAUAAAAAUAAUUUUUAUAAUGUAUGAGACCAAGUUUCACGUCUCUAUUAUUUUUCAUCAUUUUUUAGAAUUGUACGAUCUUGUACCAGAUCUUCGUUUAGUUAUGAUGAUAGCAACCACUCUCACUGAAAAAUUAUAUAAUAACAUUUUUUUGGCAUAUUUAAUUACUGAUCCUGUCGGUGUAUUAUUGUAAAAUUAGGCAAUUUGUCCAAUCAAUUCACACAUAAUUUCAAACCUGGCAACUAUAUAAAAACAAAAUCAUAGGUAAAUAAUGUAGAAAAUCACCAACAACCCUUGAAUUUUGUUACAAGAAAGGGCCAAGUCAUCACCUUAUCAAGAUUGUGAGUGGAUUCACAAAGAUCACGACUAGUAUAAAAGGAGGAAGUCACUCUUGUGUUUUCUGCACCAAACUCAUAAGUCACUAACAUGGCUUCCUCAAACUUCCUAGUGCUGCUUCUUUUUGCUCUAUUUGCCAUUCCUCAGGGUCUUGCCAAUUAUGAGAAGCCUCCGGUUUACCAACCACCGGUGUAUAAGCCACCAGUUGAGAAACCCCCGGUCUACAAACCCCCUGUAGAAAAGCCACCAGUAUAUAAGCCACCAGUAGAGAAGCCUCCAGUUUACAAACCACCGGUGUACAAGCCACCUGUGUACAAACCCCCAGUAGUGAAACCCCCAGUCUACAAACCUCCUGUUUACAAGCCACCGGUGUACAAGCCACCAGUUUACAAACCACCAGUAGAGAAGCCCCCAGUUUACAAGCCACCUGUAUACAAACCCCCAGUAGUGAAACCCCCAGUCUACAAACCUCCUGUUUACAAGCCACCAGUUGAGAAGCCUCCAGUUUACAAGCCACCAGUAGUGAAGCCACCUGUUUACAAGCCCCCAGUCUACAAGCCACCAGUAGUGAAGCCACCUGUAUACAAGCCUCCAGUCUACAAGCCACCCGUUUACAAGCCUCCAGUUGAGAAGCCUCCGGUCUACAAGCCACCUGUUUACAAGCCCCCAGUUGAGAAACCUCCAGUCUACAAGCCACCGGUUUACAAGCCUCCAGUCGAGAAGCCACCAGUUUACGGACCUCCUCACCACCCAUAGGACUCUCGGAUGCUUUUAAGUAAAUAAGUUAAAUAAGAGAUAUAUAAUGUUUCCAAAGCAAGGAUUAUAUAUUCUUGGAAUCUUCAUUUUAGUCUUUUGUUUACAAAUCCUAUUACCAAGAUAAGAAUGUGAAAGAAAAUGGUGCAUUUGUACUCCAAGUUAUGAAUAAGAACGUUGUGAUUUAGCACUUUUUAAUUUGUGUUGGUUGACUAAAUUGGACAUAGUAUAUAUAUACUCUACUUAAUACUCUGUCAUAUCAGUAAGGUGCAUGAAAGUUCAAUUUUCUGUAGUAGACAUAACGAAUAAUUAAUUUAUGUUUGAAUCUAGAAUUUACUAAACUUCACGUACUUGGAAUUUCAUUGCAUUAUAGCUUGACUCAGUAGUAGCUUUAGUGAAAAAUGAUUUUGGUGCUUAAAAUUUUAAGAGUUGGAGUUUGGACAAAUUAUACACUCAUAUAAUUUAGUUAUCUUUUCAAAUUUACAAUUACAAUUUUCAAGGUUCUAUAUUUGUGUUGAUGCACCAAUUAAGAGAAUGAUCAAGAAAAUUAGGUUUUUAAUUGGUUUUUAUCGAUGAUUUCUGAAGAUAUAUUUCGGCAGAUGAACUAAUCCUUCAAUUUAAGAGAUUAAAUUGCCAUUUUACAAAUUUCAAUGAUUAUAUUAUUACCUAAUCUUAAAUAUAAUUUUUAGGGCUAAAACGAUGAUUCACUCAAUAUAUAUUGUGAUUUCUUAUUUUUUUUAUGAUAUAAAGAUAGCUGAAGUUGUGUGAUAUACAAAGUUAUAUUUCCUUUGGAAGAUAAGAGUCCCCCACCAUAUUGACAUGAAAGUGAACGUGGGAAAAUAUGUGCAAUUAAGGUUCCAAAUAUUAAACAAUAGCCACAAUAAUUGUCUAUAACUCAUAACAAAUAUAAGAACUUGAUAAGAAAAAUAAUAAAUAUAAGAACAUGAGCAGGCCAUAGUUUUUUAGCCCGAGAAGCUUCAUCUUCUUUUUAAGUCUAACAUUUUUUAAUCUUCAUUCAAAGAAGAUUGGUGAUUUUGGGAUAUUUUUAUAAGAUAGGUAAAUAAUGAAAUUUGUGUUGUACUCGAAGAAAUCUACCACACGAUUUGAAUGAAUAUAUUACUUUUAGUCAAAAUAAAUUAAAAUAAAGAAUGUAACAUUUCAAACUCACUCACAUAUAAAGAAUGAAUUUACAAUCUUUAAAACACAAAUAUUUAAUCCUUAAAUCUAACACCUCUCUUAGUUUUAGCGAAAUGAACUUUGUGUUGUACUCGAAGAAAUCUACCACACAAUUUGAAUGAAUAUAUUACUUUUAGUCAAAAUAAAUUAAAAUAAAGAAUGUAAAAUUUCAAACUCACAUAAAAAGAAUGAAUUUACAAUCUUUAAAACACAAAUAUUUAAUCCUUAAAACUAACACCUCUCUUACAUUUAUUUUGUUUACGUACCUUUAUUUUGUUUUCAAAUACUUAUAUUUAGUUGAAUUCCUUCAUUAUACUCUUUUUAAUGAAUUUUCUGAACAAAAUAAAAUUGUGUUACUCAGUCACUCAAAUUAGAGUGGAUAGAGCAAUGAAAAUAUUUAUUACUAUGUAGUUUAUAGUUGGAGUGAUCGGAUAGUCUAGUGGGAUCUUAGCCACUCUCGUUUGACUCACUUGGAGCAUGUCAAAAAUAUUUUUUUGAAAAUGAACGAUGGAGAUUUACUUUGCACUAGGUCCAGUGAAAAAGAUAUGGGAGAUAAUCCCAAUCUUAGCUUAUUGGGUAGGCCAGUGUUGAGAAUGGAUUCUCUCAAAUGUAAUUAUCUCACUAGUCUAAUUACCAACACAAUCAAAGAGAAAAAAUAGUGGGAUGUAAGUAAAAAAUCCAUAUUCUACUUACUCAAUCAUCUAUACAAGCUACUUUAAUUAUCUAGUCGAACGUUACGAGCGUUACAAGAGAAAUCAGAAUAUCGAUGAUCAAAAUCCUUCAAAGCAAAAGAUGUUGUUGUGUGCAAGUGUGAGUUAUAUGCCCCACAUCGGAUAAAAGAGUAAAGGUUGAACACCUUAUAAGUAAGAGGACCAUAAACCCAAAGCCUUAAGGUUUUGGGUAAGAGUGUGGUGUCUCCCUUGCUUGUCUGGUUGUUCUAGCCUCGAUGUGGACGCUCCCCCAAGCUCCCCUCGCUGACCCAACAGUGGUAUCAGAACCCCGGUUCGAUGAAGGGUACGACUGAGGCCGCCUGUCAGUUGUGCAGAAAGCAGCAACGACGGUACAAGCAACAAGUGGCUUCUUGUGCAGCAACGGCUAUACAUGCAAAGUAAAAAGCUUCCACGCGGUACAAGCAACAAGUGGCUUCUUGUGCAGCAAUGGCUAUACAUGCAAAGUAAAAAGCUUCCACUCUAGGGGAGCGACUCACGCUUGAGGGGGAGUGCUGUUGUGUGCAAGUGUCUGUUAUAUGUCUCAAAUCGGAUAAAAGAGUAAAGGUUGAACAUCUUAUAAGUUAGAGGACCCAUAAACCCAUAGCCUUAAUACUGUCCUUUUUGCAUAUUUAGCCCCCCCGAAACCAAUUUUAACCAAUUCAACGAUGACGUGGAUGUCACGUGUGUAAUGCUUUAAUUAUUUUAGUUUUAGAUAGAUACAGAGAGAGAGGUGUCAUAUGUCAAAAAAAAAAAAAGAUAGAAAAGAUUUCCUUCCUUGAAUCGUUGAGGUAACUACAAACUAAGACAAUGAUGUUAUUGGUUACUUGUUUCUAAUACCUUUGAAAAAGAUAGUUAGACCAAUGUAUUGGUCAUUAACUCUUUUCAAUGGUUACUACCCUAGUGUCUAAGGUGAGUCAUAACAACGUCAAAGUAAGUACAAUUAUUAUUAAUUUAUGUCUACACCUAAUCAAUAAUUGAAGGUUAAGAUAGGUCAAGCCAACAAAGUUAAGGUUAAGAUAAUCAUUUUCACCUAAAUUGAUUUAUGAACAUAUGUUAAUGAUGACAGUCCGUCAUAUCACAUUUUUAGAGUCUUUUCAAUUAAGUUUUUAUUCUAAUUUUAUUAAUUUAGUACUUAAUUUAGAGUCAUUUUAAAUAAAUUGUCAUUUUCUUAUUAUUGAGUCAACUAGUGUAUUAUUACUAUUAUUAUUGGUCAAUUAGUGGCUAGUAAAGAGAAUGAAACAAAAACAUGGUUUUGUGAUGGAUGUGAUUGGCCAAGAAAAAUGAUAACAAGUUGAACGAAAGAAAAGAAGACCACACAAUGUUGCAUUAGGGUGCAGGAAUCAAAACCAAUAUAAUUGGGCUUUCUUUCAUGGACGUUGAACCAAGAAAAAGAAAAGAAAAGAUAACUUGCUGCAUAAUGUUAAUUUGGAAAGAAAAAUAGGUUUGACAAGCUAUAAAAGGAGACCACGCACAGGAACAAAGCAGACGAUUGGGAAAGAAAGAGCAGCACGCGGUACGAGACAAAAGGAGGAGGAGAAAAGCUCAUGGAAUUUGGAAUAUGCAACAGUACUGAUUAAAUAGAACAAAGCCGGUAGACCAUAAUUCGAUCGGUUUAUUUCUUUUAGUAUGUUGUUUAUUCCUUUAAUAUGUCUAGUUAAUUCCAUUUGAUUGAGUCACGAUGAACCUAUUGUAAUAUAUGAAUCAGUAGUUAAAACUCUUUUUAUUAUCAAUAUUAUUCAGUCUUUAUUCAGAAUUAUCUGUGUUCAUUGCCUUUCAUAUGAUUGUUUGCAUUGUUUGCAUUGUUUGCAUGACUAUUAACCCUAACUUCUUACAAUCACAUAAAUUGAUCUUAGGAAUUGAAUGACUACUAACCCUAACUUUUAAUCCUGAAAUAAUAAUUCUGUUUAAUUCAACAUAGGAACCUAGAGAUAGGAAAUUGAGGAUUAUGACAUAUAACGUUCUAACAUCGCUUCCGCGGUUAUUCAACCAGUUUAAAAGAUUAAAAGGUUAUAACUUAGGAAAUGGUUUUGAGUCAAGAGAUUGAUCAAAACUAAUUAGUUAAUUUGUCGUAAAGAUUGAAUAAGUGUUGAGAGCAAAGAGAGAUAAACUAUUUCACAUAAAACAAUAGAGGAUUUACCGGCUGAUCAUCUGUUUUAAUCCAAUUAUCAAACCAUUUUAUUUUAUGUUAUUUACUUUUUAUUGCACACAAACGUACUGCCUCAUACACUUAUAAAAUUUACACAUCCUAGAUAUUAACUUUAUUGCUAGUUUGAGAUUAACACAGUCCUCGUGGAUACGAACUUAUUUUAUUACUUCGAUAGUUUUAGUACACUUGCUAAAAUAUUUAUGAGUUAACCAAUAAAGAGUAUCAAGAACAACUUUAACCGAAUAAAAUAGAAAAGUAAUUAAAUGAAAUUUAUAGAAUUAUUCAAAGUUACAUAAUCAAACAAUUACGAGGAAGUUCUUAUUUCAUGACCUAACAUAUAUAGUAUUAGCUACUCAUAGAUUUUCUAAACAUAUAUAAAUAGAUAUGAAGAAGAAAGCAUGAGAAAAGGAUCAGCAAGUGAGGAUUAAUUGGCUCCCUAAUGGCCGUGGUCACUCCAAUCCUUCCAAAAUUGUGUUUCUGCCUUCGUCUUCUCGCUAAAAAGUAUUUUCCACUAACUUAGGUUUCAAUAUUUAUAGGUGUGCAUUUCCUUAAGUUUUUGGGAAAUUGGCACACGAUGCGAUCCUAUUCCUCAUGAUGCGAGGAUAACAUAACUAAUCUUGUUGGCCUCACGUUUAUUGUCCCGAUGCAAAGCUCAUGAAGAUUGAUACGAUUCAAGGAAAUGUGAUUUGAUUUAACCAAGCAAAAACCAAGAUCAUAGGAUAACAAUGAUACGAUUCAAAGAAGUGUUAACUUGAUUCACAGUAAUACAAUUCAAAGAAUCAUGAAUCGUUUAAAAAUUUAUGGAAAAUUAGCAGAAACUUUUCAUGAUAAGAUUCAAAAAAGUUUGAAUUGAAUCAAUUGGUUAGAAAAACAUUUUGACCAAGAAAAAUGAAGUUUUCUUUAUACAAACAAAACACAAGACAACAAGGGAUCAUAUGAUUUAUGAGGCAAGAUUUCUAGGUAUGCUUUAACAUGAUAUUAGUCAAUAACAACUAAUAUCUAAACAUCAUCAAAUAAAAACUACCUAAUGAACAUCAUAAAAACACAAACCUAUAACUACACAACUUCAUCCAACUUAUUGGGUGUACCGCAUUAACUAGAUAAUGGUCAUAUCUAUACUAUAUAUAAAGAAAAUAACAUGUUUUUCAAGGUGAGAAAAACACGAGAGGGGGGGGGGGGGGGGGUUGAAUUGUGGUUUCUUUCUCUUCUCCUAAAACCGAAUUCACUAUUCAGAACUUGAUAGAGUUCAGCUUCUGAAGUAGUGUUCAGAGUCUAGUUGCAGCGGAUAAGAAAAGAGAGAGAGAGAGAGAGGCAAGACACAAAGCAACUAUACAGAUUCCUUCCACAAACCGGAACUAGUCAUGUCCCCCUUGCACCUCCAAGAAGAGUUCACUAAAAUCAAUAUUCGAUUACAAUUGCUCAGGGCUCAAAAUAGCAAGAGACUUCAAACUACUCAAGAACAACUACAAGAGAUUUCCUAUGCUCAAGAACAAAAUCAAGAGACUUCCUAUGCUCAAGCACAACUGCAAGAGACUUCAUACAAAUCAGAUAAGACUCUUAAGAUUCUAGAAUUUCUAAAAUAUGAAAGUUGAUAAGAAAUUCUAAGUGAACUUUGAUGUGAAACAUUUUUAGCAGAGUUUUGGCACUUGUAAAAUUGUUGUAAGUCUCUUAGAAAUCUUCAAGUCUUCACUCCUUUAUAUAGAGGUGUGAAAGAGACGUUGUUGAUUUCCAACACAUUAAAAGAGUCGUUAUUGAAGCUUGAUCAAAUUUCAAUUCCAUUCCAAGUAUAGAGGAAUACCAGCGUAGUCACAAUUGUUGUUCUUGUACUAUUGCAGACAGAAAACAGAGUAGUGGAGAAGGUGGUUGUACAAUUGUACUAUUGUCCUUUUCCAAUGUUCUUCAAGGGAUAAGCAUCCAAUGACUUCAAAUUCCUCUUAAUUAGUUGUUGCUCUAGACUUCUAUUCCUUCUGCAAUGAUAGGCAUGAUAAUAACAACUCUUGACAAAUAUUGAAGCUUCCAGUCUUUCAGCUUAUGAUCUUAAACUUCUAACGACGUCAGCUUCUGGUAGUCUCCAGCUUAUGAUAAAAGUGCUUCUGAUGAUGUCAUCUUCAGAACCUCUUUGUCUUCAAAACCUCUUUUCCUUCAGAUGGUUCCUUGCAACUCAAGCUUCCUUUUUUUAAAUUCCAUUGCUCUCAUUUGUUCUUCUAGAACCCAUGCUUCAUUUAAAGACACUCAAAUUUUUGUAUAUGGUCCUGCACACUUGAACAAAUAUUAUCAUAUCCAAUUGAAUUUUUUUAAUACCUUGUUAUCAUCAAAACUUAAAGGGUAAUGUUAAACACAUUUUGUUCCAACAUUUUUGACUCUUUUAGAAUGACUUUUUCUCUUUCCAAAAUUACCAUCAACUUUCAAUACAAAUAACACAUACAACAAGAAUUGUGUUAUUUGAACAUCCAUAUAUGCGACAACUUUUGUGACAACCAAAAUUUUACAAAGAAAAUGAAGUAGUGGCACAAAAACCAAAGCAAUAGAGAGAGAAAGUAAAAAGAUAAUGUGAGUAUGAGAGAGAAAGUUGUCACAAAAGUUGUAAAAAAUAGUUGUUCAAAUAUCAUUUCUCCAUACAACAAAUAGAUGAGAGUAAAUUCAAACAUUAAAAUAAAAUUGUAAUACACACGAUAUGAGUAUAUAUGUCCAGUUUUUUCCUUUAUCAUUUAAAAAAUGUAACAAACAAGAUGAGAAUAUCAGAGAGAUGAGAGAUAGUGACGUGAGACAAGAAAGACCUCUCCGUGGCCCGCCUUUGCUUGAACGGUGGUAACCGCACCAGAAUUUAUCUCCAUUUGAGAGAUACACUAGGGGGUAGGUAUGCAGCCUGGGUGGUAGAAAAUGGGGGGGGGGGGGGGGGGGGUAUGGGUGAUUGGUCUGUAGUUAGGUCACGAAAGAGGAAAGCGACGCAAUCGGAAGAUCGAGGAAGGGACAAGUCAAGGGUUUCAGAGCGACGCGGAGGCACGGUAAGGGUUAGAGGGAUCGCACAUAAUGAUUACGGGUUUGAUGGCAGAGAGGCGCGACAAUCAGCAAGGGCUCUUCAUGAUCAGCAAGGUUUGGGUCGUUAUCAGUUUGGAAACAACGAUUUGGCUUUCGACAGAUGCGGGUCUGAUGCUAUCAUGGGAAAAGGCUUCUUCGACGACAAACAUAACAAUGGUAGUAAAAUUACUUUCUAUUUUGCAAACAUUCCUGAUUAUAUGCCGUUGUUUCGUCUCCGUCAAUACUUUGAAGUGUGUGGUAUUUUGUCUGAUGUCUAUGUUGCCAGACAACUAAAUUCACGUGGUCAGGUCUAUGGCUUCGUUAGAUUUUUGAAUGUGAGGAACAAGGACAAAUUAGCACAAGAUUUGAAUAAUGUAUGGAUUGGUGACUUUAAGGUCUGGGCGCGUGAAGCAAAAUUUGAUAGGUUUGCACAAUAUGAUGAUGAUCAUAGGGUGUCUAUGCAUGGUGAUAGAAGGGAUGAGAAUGGAGGGGAGAGGAGGCCGGUGGUGAGAACUAAUGGUGAUGGAGUAAAAAAUAUGAGGAUGUGUAAUUUUAAAAAAAUAGGAGGGAUAAUAAAAAUAGUUGUUGGUCUCAUUUUAAAAAAAAAUAAAAAAAUUGUUUAUAUAUUUUUGUUAUAUUAUCGGUGUCAAUGAAAUGGAUAAUCAUGGUUAAUUUGAUUUGUUAUAAUUUGAAAGCAACACACAUUUAUAUCUUUAAUUUUAAUCAAAAUCAAAAUGUUAUAAAAAAUACUAUUGCUAAUUUUCAAAUGUUAACACAAUAAAAAGAGCAGAAAGACGGAGUGCCCGUCUUUUCACUAGUUAUAAUAAAAGAAAUUUUAUUUGAUGUAUUGAUAAUGAUACUGAAACUUUUUACACAUACAUCCAAACAUUAUUCAUGACAUCACUUUUAUACAAGUUCUAAAAUAUCGCUGUAACAAAAAGGUUAAAAAACAACUCAUGAAAUAUGUACAUGAUUUAAUUGAAUAUAUGUGUAAAAGAAAUUAUAUAUCAACAUCUAUAAAUUAAAUUUAUUAUUGAAAUGAAAUACUAGUAAAAAUGAUGGCCAGCAUUUAUGAAAAUAAAGGUCUAACUGAUCAUGGGCCAAUUUAAAUCAAAAGUAGAUUUGUGCCCUCUAAAGGGUACUAGAAUAUAAAAGAUGGACGGCAAACAAGGGACACAAAGAAUAGAGAUGCUCAAUUUAAAACACAACUUCGAUUUUUUUUUUAUUUACUAAAAAAUAACUUAGAUUGUUUAGAGAAGAUAGGAAUUCAAUUAGUCUGACAACAUAUUUUGGAAGUACAAUUAGUUUCACAAUUAACUAUUUUGAUAAUCCUCCUUAUUAAAAAAAAAUUAAUAUUCCAUUUCGUCAAAUAAAACAAAAAGUUAGGGAGUGAUGAGAGAUCUUAGUCAAUAUUGUUUUGCACCAUAAUAUUUUUGAGAGAUUGAUUUGGCAUUUACAUGCUUCCAACAAAUACAAUGUAACAAGUGCUUAUAAUUAUAUGAUAUCGUCUCUUAAUAUUGUGACAGCUGAUCACUUAAACACAAUUUGGAACAACGAGGUCCCUCUGAAAGUUAGUCAUUUUACAUGGAGUUUGCUCUGUAGCCGAUUACCAACAACAAAUAAUUUUAUCAGAAGGCACAUUCUUAAUCAUAAUGUUCAACUUUGUGUAGGCUUUUGUGGUAUAAUGUAAGAUAUAGACGAUCUAUUUCUCUCUUGUGAUUUUUUUGAAAUUUUUUAGAUUGGUAUCUAUAAUUGGCUCGGCUUUACUAUGGUACAUCCAGAACAUCCGAAUAACUUUUCAACUCAUAUGGUUAACUUGUGUUUGGGUGAUUUGAUGGGAAAGAAAUGCUUGAAGUUUUCGCAAUCAAGAAGAAUCGUUACAACAUCUUCUUGACAAAAUUAAGCUUCAAUCCUAUUAGUGGUUGAAAGCGAAUAGAAUUUUCGCUCAAUUUUAAUAAAGUGGAUACUAUAUGAGAUUUUCGCUCAAUUUUUUAUGAGUAUGGACUGCACUUGGCGUUAGUCAUUGAACUCAUUUUACGAGACUCAAGUUCCAACUUAAGCCAAAAACUGAAACCAAACAAAUGAAGUAAAAAACUCAAGUUCCAAACUAAUGCGUGAUUUUAGUCAAAACAAUGUUUAUUUUUUGACAGUAGUUAGUUUUGGAUUACAGCUAUAUCCCUACACCCCACAAACUAUACCCCUCUCACCAAUAGACAAAACAAAAGAGUAGGUGGAAGGGUACAUAAUUAAGAAAAAGUUAUGUGAAAAACAAUAUUUUCUAUAGCCAAAACCAAAAGAUAUAUAUUGCAUUAUUGCAUAUAUACCAAUAAAAGAAGUACUGUGAAAUACAAGAUAAUGGCAUUAGAUUAGAAAUGGCCAAUUUGAUCUGUCUAUUUUUAAUCAUAUUAUUUAGAUUUGUUCAAUCUUUUACCAAAUCUUAUUUAGUUAUGCAAAAAGCAACACCUCUCGUUGAAAGAUAAUAAUAACGAUUUUUGGCAUAUGUUACUAAUAUUGAUUGAAAAAUGUUACCAAAUGAUGCAACUUCCCAACUCCAAUCCACUCAUAAUUUCAAACUUCGCUACCAUAUGAAAACAAAAUCACAGGUAGAAAUGUGUUGGAAAUCCUCAACAACUAUUGACUUUUGGUACAAAAGAGUGCCAAGUCAUUACUAAUUCAAGAUUGAGACAUGCAGCUGUGAGUGGAUUCACUAAGAUCACGACUAGUAUAAAAGGAGCUGGUCACACUUGUAUUUUAUGCACCAAAUUAUAAGUCACUAACAUGGCUUCCUCAAACUUUCUAAUGAUGCUCCUCUUUGCUCUCUUUGUCAUCCCUAAGGGGUUUGCCAACUACGAGAAACCUCCAGAGUAUCAUCCACCAGUUGAAAAUCCCCCAUUUUAUAAACCACCGGUAGAGAAACCACCUGUGUAUAAACCACCAAUAGAGCAACCUCCAAUUUAUAAGCCACCUGUAGAAAAUCCUCCAAUUUAUAAACCACCAGUAGAGAAACCACCCGUGUAUAAACCACCGUUUGAGAAACCUCCAAUCUACCAUCCACCAGUAGAGAUACCACCAGUGUACAACCCACCAGUUGAACAUCCUCCAAUUUACAAGCCUCCUGUAUACAAACCACCAGUAGAGCAACCUCCCGUCUAUAAGCCACCAGUAGAGAAGCCUCCAAUUUACAAGCCACCAGUAGAGAAACCUCCUGUUUACCAACCUCCUGUUUACAAGCCCCCAGUUGAGAAACCUCCAGUGUACAAGCCACCUGUAGAAAAGCCACCAGUGUACAAGCCACCUGUAGAAAAGCCACCAGUGUACAAGCCACCUGUAGAAAAGCCUCCUAUAUACAAACCACCAGUAGAGAAACCACCAGUGUACAAACCACCCGUUGAGAAACCCCCGGUUUAUAAGCCACCAGUAGAGAAACCACCUGUGUACAAGCCACCAGUUGAGAAGCCCCCAAUUUACAAGCCACCAGUAGAGAAACCACCUGUAUACAAGCCACCAGUUGAGAAGCCUCCAGCUUACAAGCCACCAGUUGAGAAGCCACCUGUAGAGAAACCACCAGUGUACAAGCCACCGGUUGAGAAGCCCCCAAUUUACAAACCACCAGUUGAGAAGCCUCCAGUGUACAAGCCACCGGUUGAGAAACCACCUGUCUACAAGCCACCUGUAGAAAAUCCACCUGUUUACAAGCCACCAUUUGAGAAACCUCCAAUUUAUAAACCGCCAAUAGAGUAUCCACCCGUGUACAAGCCCCCUUUUGAGAAACCCCCCAUCUACAAGCCACCUGUAGAGAAACCUCCUUUUUACAAGCCUCCGUUUGAGAAUCCACCAUUUUAUAUACCUCCAGUUGAGGAGCCUCCUGUUUACAAGCCUCCAUUCGAGAAGCCACCAAUUUACACUCCUCCAUUCUAGAGCCCACCUUACCACCCAAAGUUCCCUCGGGCAGGCGAUGGUACUCGUUAAUAGAACAUGCUAUGAAGAAAAUAUGUUAAAUAAGAGAUAUAUAGAGUUUUUUAUUUAAUCAAGGAAUAUAUAUAUUCAUGUAAUCUUCAUUUCAAUACUUUGUUUACAAUACUCUUGCUAUGAUAAGAAUAUGAGUGAAAAACAGAGAAAGAAAAUAGUGUGCUUUUCUAUUCGAAAUUAUGAAUAAGAUUUCUAUGAUUUAGAUGUUGUGUUGGUUGACUAAAUCGUGAUACAUCGACAGAGGCAGAGCCCCUCAUGCGCCAAGGUGGGUCAUGGCCCACCCCCAAAUUUUGUUUCUUAUUAUAUAUAUAUUAUGUUUUGUAAAUUUUUGAUGUUUUUGUAGCAUGUUGUAGUGGUUAAGAGCCUUUUUGCCAAGUCGUAUGUGCUAGGUUCAACUCUUGCCAAAACCAUUUUUAUUUAUUCUUUUAUUUUCUUUUGUAUAAAAAAAAAACAUAAUUCAUAAUUGUUAAAAUAAUCCUUUUUUUUGUUACUUAAUCCUUUCUUUCUUUAAUAAAACAUAACUCCUUUAUUCGAUUUAAAAUAAUCUUUCCUUUCCUUACUCUUAUUUUUGGAUACAAUUGUCUCUUUACUCUUUUAUUUUAAUUUUUUUUUUAUACAAAGGGGACUUCAACUCUUUUUUGUCAAAAAACAUUCUCUUUUAAAACAUAUAACAUAUUUUUUAUACUUAGUCGUUUGAUUCAAUUCGAUUUUAUACCUAUACAUCUGUUUAUUGAAGUCGAGUCAUUUAAUUCAGUCGUUAGGUUCAAUGGCCUAGUUGUUCGAUCAAUUAUCUUGAACUUUAUCAAGGUUGAUAAACAGUUCAUAUUUUAAAAUACCGGUUUAAAUUAUAUUCAACAAAUAACAAAUUUAUAGUCAUUGGAACCAACCAAUAAUAAAAUGUACUUGUAAGAAAAUAAAGCCUCAUCACUAUUUAUGGCCCACCCUAUACUUUUUUCCUAGCUCCGCCACUUUACAUCUUCGUAUUCUUUAGGAAGUUUCAACCUUGUUGACUAUGACAACAGUGACGACUAUAACGAGACUCGCUAUUGACUAUGACAACAGUGACGACUAUAACGAGACUCCCUACUUUUUGGUUUGCUUCAACAGGUUCUCAACAUAAAUAACUAACCAAGUUAAUUUGCCUGUGAAAUGUGAUAUUAGUAAGGUGCAUGAAGGUUAAGUUCUUUAGCAAAGCUUAGUAUCUUGAAUUAAAGAAUAUCGUUAAUUAAACUAAAUAUUCAUAUUAGGUAUCACAAUUUUCAAGACUUUAUAUGUACGUGUUGAUCCAUUAAUUAAGAGAAAUUAGACUUUAGACCCGUGCGUCGCACGGGUCAUUUCGACUAAUAUAUAAUAAUAAGUAAUGGUAAAAAAAAUUCUAAAAUAAAUAAAAGAUGAAGAGUAUUAUACAUUUUACUUACUCAAGUUCAAAAAAUAAAGUAGGAGAUGACAUGAAAUCGUUUAGUUGAAACAAACGAAUAUUAAAAAAUAAAAAUUAGACAACGACAGGGAUCUAAAAUUCUAUUUCUAAUCCUUCACAUAUCAAAAUUACAAUUGGUUCUCUUCAUUGUAAUCAUCUAAACUUAAUUAAAAAAUUUACAAGUGCAAAUAGAAUCGACAUUAUACAAGUCACUACUUGAUUCCAAAAACCUAUGUUUCAUGAAAACCACUCAUACCUAAAUAACAAUAAUAAACCUUCAAAACAAAAAUCAACUAUUCUCAAAGGACCCAAAAGAAAGAUUUUUAGCCUUCUAAAUCACAAUUUCUCUUGUUGUAUUGUUUUUGUGUCAAAAGCACCAUAAGUUGAAUAGUAGGCUCAGACACAUGACUUUCCUCAUAAGACAAAAUCACCAGUUUUUUAUAGGUUGAAAAAAUAAAUCAAAUAUCCUUAACUUUCAAUAACGCUUAGAAACAACUGAAACUUUUGCAUUAUCUCAAUCCACAAACAAAAUUGAAGACCUUUAUAUUUGCUUUAGGCACCUUAAGGAAUUCUAUGUAAAUUGUUUUCCUGCAAUGAAAUGCUAAACACAAUGAGCAAAGAAGAAGAAUUAACAACAAUAUUUGGAUUGUUUUAUUUAGCUUACAAUUCUUUAAACUAAUCAANAACACAAUGAGCAAAGAAGAAGAAUUAACAACAAUAUUUGGAUUGUUUUAUUUAGCUUACAAUUCUUUAAACUAAUCAACAAAAAAUUAAAUUUGCAUUAUAUCCUCCACAAUAUCAAGAAUUUUUCAAAGGGAUCAUUCUAUUUGUAUGGCUAUGAUGAGAACUCAUGUGUGUCCAUGAAGACCAGCUCUACGGAUAACCAUGUUCAUAUUAACUAUUUUAGGAGUGAAAAUAGGAUUGGAUUGGAUUUAGUAGUGAGCUGUUGUUUUUGAUUUCAGAAGCAUUUGAAAAUAACAUUUUGAUUAAAUGGAAAUAAUAGGAAGAAUUUGUUAAUAAAAGUGAUUUUUUUUUUUUUUUUUAUGUUGAUCUUUUUAUUGUUGUGUUAGAAACAAAAUAGGACGAAAUUGUAUUUUUUUUUUUAUGUUUAUCUUUUUAUUGUUGUGUUGGAAACAAAAUAGGAGGAAAUUGUUAUAGGAAUAGGAGGAACGAUUUUUAAAGUUUAUCUCUUAAUUAAACAGGUUUAAUUGAACACGGGGGUAAUAACGUAAAAGUCAUCAUAAAAUCUAGGUUAAAAUUAGGUUAAAAAUUGGCUUACGGGUUAACUUUUAUAUAUAAAGAAGUCAAGAGAAUCUAGAUCUGUGAAGCCCCGAUACUUCAAAAUGGAUGAUGUAUCGUAUCCGCUGCGUAUUCUGUAUCGAUACCUGCCCGAUACUUCUCAAAUUUAUGAGUUUUAUUUGAUUCUUCGAAUUCGAAUUUUGAGAAUUUUAGGGUUUGAAGGUUGGUGAUGGAGGUGAAUCUGAGUUUAUAUUAAGAAUUGAUGAAGAAUUUAAGGAGAGUGCAGUGAUGGAUAGGUAACUGAGUAUGAAUUGGUAUGCAGUUUGGAAAAACAAAACAAGAGGCAGUAGCAGCACCCCCACCCUUCCUCUACUUCUUCGACAAUAUGAGUGUUAGAUUCAUUUUCCUAGGUGUGAUUUUGAGGCAGAUGAAUAUGUGUGAGAGAUUGUAGAGGAAGAUCUCAGAUAUAGCUUUUAGGGAUGAACAUGAAUGAAUGAAUUUGUAGAUGAAGAUGAAUGUUGUUUGAACAUUUAAUUAAGAAAUUUUUAAUUGUUUUUUGUUUUAAUAUUUGAAAUUAUUAAAUUGUAUUUUGAAAUUCAAAAAACCUGUUUUAAUGACAUGUAAAUGACAUUUUCCAAAUUGGCAAUGCCACAUAGGCAAAAUUUUACCACCUGUGCAUUUUUGGAUGUGAAAAUAGGGGGUAAGACUAAAACUGCAACAAAAAUGAUAAUUGAAAAACAAUUUUAAUCUGUUUUAAAAGGGCAGGACCAAUUUCCUGAGUAGGCCACAACACGAGGACCAAAAGUGUAAUUAAGCCUUAUAUUUAUGUUGAUGUGCUACAAGCUUAUGACUGGUUUCUUUUGUUUGAUAAUAUAUUUGCAUAUUAAAUAAAAUGGUUAUAAUUAUAUUCUACAUUUAAUUAUAUAAUUUUUUUAUUGACGUAUCCCAACCAUAUCGUAUCUUGAUUUUUGAAAUUUUUUCGUAUUGACGUAUCGGUGCAGUAUCGUAUCUCGUAUUCGGGCUUCAUAGAUCUAGACUAUUAAUUUUUUUGAUAAACAAGAUUAUUAUUAUUUUUUGACAAAAACAAAGUGAGAUUCAUUCAUUCAAAUUGAUAGAGUACAUCAGAUACAAACAUUGCUAAAAACGUAAAGGAUAAAUCUAUGAACAAACUCACAACACUAAAGUUCAUACAACAGCAAAAUGUCUACAAAUAAUAUGAUAAAAUCUAAGUCACCAAAAUAUUCAUGCUUCCGGGUAUGCAACGUUGGCGCCCAAAUCAUUGAUUGAAUUUGUAAUUGACUAAUGUCGAUCUUUCAACAUGAACUAAACGAACACCGCGUCAAGACGCGAAAUCAAACAUCACAUAAGACCACUAACAACACAAUGCCACAAUUAGAUGACGAAAUCACAAAAACUCAAAAGGGAAAACUUGAUAUAUGUGAAAACCAUUUGUUUAGAUCGAAAGAAAAGAGAAAAAACGAUGUAGAGGGGUGAUUUUAGGUCAAAAAUGACCUAAAACCAGUUCUUUUUAAUAAACGAAGGAGAAAGAAUGUUUAGAGAGAAGUUGGAGUUUUUUUUUACUUAAAAAAUUAGGAUAAGCAAAAUUAUUAUAGAGGGAUAAAGGGCUCCCCAACCCAUAUACAAAAUGAUGGUUGCAAUGCCAUGUAGAAAAUAAAAAGAUAACAUUGCCUUUCUUUUUACAAUUAAACUAGUUACAAACCCGUGCGUUGCACGGGUUUAAUAACGUAUUUUAUAAAAAAAAAAUCUUUUAAAAGAAAAAUGAGCAAAUUAAUGAAUAUUGCACAAACAUUAUAAAUCUUUAUCAAAAUAUUUAUGAAAGCUUUAUCAAGUCUUUAAUACACAUUAAUAUUUGUGAUGAUUGAUAAAAGAAUUAAAAAGAGUAAAGGGUAUAGAAAUAAAUUUAUUAAAGAAUUAACAAUUUGUUUAAACUUAUUUUUGUUACAAUUUAGACCAAAAAAAAUAUUGGACUUCAUUGAGUUUCUCUAUAAUUUUUUUAUCAGGCUUGAAGUUAUGACUCUGAGUUUGAAAACCGCAAAAUUCACAAAAAUUAUUGAAGAAACACUAUAAACAAAUAAACGGCAUCGUCAAAAAUGAAAUCAUAUUUGGCUAUAGUGAUCAAGCAAACAAAAAAAAAGAAGCAUAUUAAAUACCUAUAAUCAAUGGAUUCUAAUUGCAUAGAGGCGACACUUAUACUUUCUCUAUGUUUGUUCAUCAAUGAGAGUGAUUAUUUUGCGCUUUCCUUUCAGAAUUGUUCUUGACACCUAGUUUGGGAAAUGCUAAACAGGGAAAUAACUGUAAUAUUAAUCUAAUGCAUAUUAACAUGGAUAAGAUGUAUGCGAAUAUAGUUAUAUAUAACUUAUGAAAUGAAGGUAACAUAACUGAUUUUAAGCUAAAGAAAAUGUACCAUGACUUCUAAUUUAUCUUUCUAUUAUCUUCCUAUAAAGUCUAGAGAAAUGCAUGCAUGUGCAUUAUAUGUACCCCGUUGACCAAUUAACAUUUUUGAAACAAAUGAAAAUUAAGCAUCACUCCCGCAUGUGCAUCUAUAGCUAACACCAUUUGACAUUGAUGUCUUCGAACAUUUGGUGCAACUCUCAUAAUACCAUCCAAACUGGUUAGGAUUGAAUUUAGUUGUUUUUCCAAAUAGUGAUGGAGUAUGUAUCCUAACACAAAUUAUGCACGUGAAAUAAAGAAUAGUGCAAUAUGCAUUUUUAAUUUGUGCGUAAAAAAAUUCAAAGCAUGUUUGUGAAAAAAAAAAAAAAAAACAGACCUUGACUAAGUUUAUAGAUUCAUCAAUUGGCCUAACUUGAGACAGAUUGGAAAAAUCGUUCUACGAAGUACUUUUUAAACUUUACUUUUUAAUCUAUCUGAGCUUGAGAAGUGUUAAGUUCACGACAACAAUUCAAGAAACAUGGUCAAUAAACAAUCAAAUCAGAUUGUGAAAUAAUAAGUUACUCUAACACUGUAUUGUGAAAUCAUAAUGCAAACUUACUAAGUCUUAAACUUUUCAACAACCGGAUGAUGUAGGUUGAUGAGCAGCCUCGAACCUGACCAAUUGUUACAUCUAUUUGCGUUGUCAUUGACUACAAAAUAGAAGCAAAGAAUUCAAGGUAAAUAAAUGGUAAAUGAUAAAGCUACAAAGUAUUUUACCCAUAAUGUUACAUCAACUAUAUUCCCAAUGCUCUAAAUCUCUAUAUCGAGUUAUUACAUGAACUCGAUCACCCUAAAUCCGAGAAAGAAACCAAAAAAUAUAAAUAAAUCAAAAUGUAUACUAAUAAGUAACAUUGAUAAAUCAUAAAAGAAAUUACUACAAAUCUUAACUAACUUAUCUAACCUUUGCAUCACAAAUAAUGAGCUUCAUAUGUUGAUUCUCAUUACUACCAGUCACAAUUCAAGAAUCCAGUACUCCAAAUCCUAUUUUCCAAACGUCUAAAUCAUUUUUGAGAUACUUAAUGUAGUCAUAAUCCCUUGACAUUGAAAUUCAUAUAUAGAAAUACAAUAAUACAUCAUUUAAUUUUAUUCCCUUUGUUCAUUCUGAUAUCGAAAGAAGCUAACAUAUUUCUAUGUGAUCAAUUUUUGUAUCAUCAAAUUAACCUGAUCUUAAAUGUACAAAUUUCUAUCAUCAACUUUCUGGACCCCAAUGAUAUGAUCAAAACAAAUUUACACCAAUCAACUUUUUGCACGGCUCAAUGAUAUACGAAAGAAUAAAUAAAAUAUGAAAACUGUUACAGCUUUAGGAUUACUCACAAAAACUAAAAUAAUUGAAAUGCAUCAAUUAUUUUCAACUCCUGUACCAGAAGCUAAAAUAACAAUUGUGUCAAAACCUUACCAUCAGUUAAAAUUCAGUCAUCAUGACCUCUACUAUACUCCACAUAACAAAAGACGAUUUUUCUACAGCCAUGCAACAUAACAAAUUUUGGUACAUAAUCCAAUAACAAUUGGAAAAAAAAAAAAAAAACCCUUAAAAUGCAUAAUCAUGAAAAAAGGAAGAAAACCAUCUAUGAUGAAGCAAAAACUAAAACGGUGUCGAAAAAUGAAGCCCUUAAGCCAUAAAAAUCAGUCAACUCAAGUCAUGCAUGGUCUCAGAACCAUGAAAAAAGAUAGAAAAUGACCUUUUUUUUUUUUGUGGUGGCCGGGGUUUGAACUCCGGACCUUGCAUAUUUUAUGCAUUGUCCUACCAACUAAGCUAAGCUCACGAGGACGAAGAAAAUGACCUCUUAUGAAGAAGAAAGUGAAACAGUGUUCCCGACUGAACUUAGAUACCGUUUGGUCAAGGUUUUUUACAUUAUAAAAGUUACUUCAAAACAAAGUAAAAAUAAAGGCCUUUAUGAAAGAAACUAAAGUUAUUUGGUUUUUUUGUUUUGUUAGUUUUAAAGCUAUUUAAGUUUAAUGUUGUUUGGCAAAAUAUUGUACAAACUUUGAAUUUAUUAUUUUUUAUAUGGUGUCUGGGGUUCGAACUCCGGACUUGGCAUGUAUUUAUGCAUUGUUCCUAUCAACUGAGCUAAACUCAUGAGGACAAAACUUUGAAUUUAUUAUUAAUUAACAUAAUAAAUAAAUAAAAUGUUUAGAAUAAUUUAUGAAGGCUAAAAAUGUUAAAAAAAUAAAAGAUAUUUUUUUUACAAAUACGAUAUUUACUCAAUAACGUUUAUUUUGUGUAACAUGAAUACAAAUUAAUAUCAUCAUAUAAAUAACUUGUUAAAUAUUUGAAUAGGAGAAACAAUUUAAGGAGUCUGGAAUAAUAAUAUAAAUAAUAUCAAAAUAUUUGAUUUUUUCUAUUUCAAUUAUACUCUAUAACAAAUUUCGUUAUAAGAAUACCAUAUUUUUUGUGUCUUUCAAAAAGAUAAGAAUUUAUAUUAUAUGAUAUUAUAUUUGUUACAUUGUUGGUGUCAUGGAAACAGAUAUGUUUAAUUUUUUUGAACAUGAAAAUGAUAUGCAUAGUUUGUUACGAUAUAAAGGUGCAAUAUAUAUAUAUAUAUACACCUUUUUAGGCAUCUAUACCUUUUUUUGAAGAAAAGACAUCUACAAUUUUACUUUUAAUUAAAAUUUAAAUUUUAUAAAAAUAAUCAUACGCAUUAUGCAACGCUAAAAAAAAUUAUACACAUUAGCGUAACAAAAAAACAGACACACAUAAAGAAUUACUCUAAACGCUAAUGUGUAUGUGCGUAUAUAUUUGCGAGGUUGAAGAAAGAAAAUACAAAUAUUUGAUAUCAUUAAAUGACAGCGUGAAUAAAAAUAUUUGUGAAGUUGUGAUGAUUAAACGAUAUUGAAAUUAUAAGUGAUAAAAAGAUAAUAAAAUUCCUUUGAAAAAAAGGUAAUAAAAUUAAAUGGAACCUCCUUAAAAAAAAUUAAAUUGAACGCUUCAAAUUAAAUGGAAGAAAAAAAUAUAUUGAAGUAUAAUAUUAAAAAAUAAAAAAAAAGGUUCCCAACGUGAAUUGAAGAGAGAUGCUUGUGAAAUAAAUUGUCGAGAAGUAGUUUUUUGAAGAAGCAUUCAACAACUUUUGGUCAAAGUUCAUUGCAUUCAAUUUUAUGCAUUAAAAAAGGUACAUUUUUUAGAAAGUACUUAAUUGAUAUUGUAUUUGACCUAACUUCUCCUUAAAAAUAUAGGGAAGUUGAAAAAAAAAACCGGGUCAAACGGUAUCUUAAUUUCCCACAACGGCAGUGUAGAAACAACUGAAUUUGGGAGAAAAAAAUUGGAAAAUAGUUAAAAAUAAAAAAAAUUGAAAAAUAGUUAAAAAAAAUCGGUGAGGUAGCACCUAACCAAACAACACUAAAAAAAAUUAUAUGCAUCAGCGUAACAAAAAAACAGACAGACGGACAUAAAAUAUUACUCUAAACGUUAAUGUGUGUGUAUAUAUUCGCGAGGUUGAAGAAAGGAAAUAAAAAUAUUUGGUAUCAUUAAAUGACAGCGUGAAUAAAAAUAUUUGUGAGGUUGUGAUGAUUAAACAAUAUUGAAAUUAAAAUAAUUAAUAUUGUGUUUGACCCAACUUCUCCUUAAAAAUUUAGAGAAGUUGGAAAAAAGUCGGGUCAAGCGAUACCUUAAUCUCCCACAACGGUAAUGUAGAAGCCACUGAAUUUGGGAGAAAAAAUUGGAAAAUAGUUAAAACUAAAAAAUAAAAAAAUCGGUGAGGUAGCACCCAACCAAGCAACACCAAAAAAAAAUUAUAUGCAUUAUCGUAACAAAAAAAUAGACAAACAGACAUAUAAUAUUACUCGAAACAUUAAUGUGUGUGUAUAUUCGCGAGGUUGAAGAAAGGAAAUAAAAAUAUUUGAUAUCAUUAAAUGACAACGUGAAUAAAUAUAUCUGUGAGGUUGUGAUGAUUAAAUAAUAUUUAAAUUAAAAUAAUUGAUAUUGUGUUUGACCUAACUUCUCCUUAAAAAUGUAGAGAAUUUGGAAAAAAGCCGGGUCAAACGAUACCUUAGUCUCCCACAACGGCAAUGUAGAAGCAACUGAAUUUGGGAGAAAAAAUUGAAAAAUAGUUAAAAACAUAAAAAUUGGAAAAUAGUUAAAAGUUAUUAAAAAUUAGAAAAUAAUUUAAAAAAUUGGUGAGGGGCAAAAUGGGAAAUUUGGCAUAAAAAAGAUGAGGUGGCACCAAACCAAACCCACCAAUUAGAAAAUUACUUAAAUGCCCAUUCCAGGGACAAAAUGGGAAUUUCAUAUGGCAUCAAUUUUAAUAGAGUAUAUAGACCACUCACAUUACACAAAUGUUGAAAUAUAUGAUGCAUAUUACUUUUUAAAUUUUUGGUUUAUAGUUGCAUUUUUUUUAGGGUUAAUAGUGUUUUUCACCCUUGUAAUAUAUGUCAUUUUCGGUUUUCGACCCUAUAAAAUUUUUAGUUUUAUUUUAACCCUCGUAAAAUUUUUAUUUUCCGGAAAAGACCCUUAAUAGGCCAUUCAAAAACCAAAAUUUCUUGAAAAAAAUUCUGAAAAUGGCCUAUUAGGGGUCUUUUCCGGAAAAUAAAAAUUAUACGAGGGACCACCUGUUGAGAAACCACCUGUACACAAGCCACCAGUUGAGAAGCUACCUGUUUACAAGCCACCUGUAGAGAAACCUCCGGUGUACAAGCCACCUGUUGAGAAGCCCCCAGUUUACAAACCUCCAGUAGAGAAGCCUCUAGUGCACAAGCCACCAGUUGAUAAACCACCUGUACACAAGCCACCAGUUGAGAAGCUACCUGUUUACAAGCCACCUGUAGAGAAACCUCCGGUGUACAAGCCACCAGUUGAGAAGCCCCCAGUUCACAAACCUCCAGUAGAGAAGCCUCCAGUUCACAAACCUCAAGUGGAGAAGCCACCUGUAUACAAGCCACCAGUUGAGAAGUUUCCAAUUUACAAACCUCUAGUAGAGAAGCCUCCAGUGCACAAGCCACGAGUUGAGAAACCACCUGUACACAAGCCACCAGUUGAGAAGCUACCUUUUUACAAGCCACCUGCAAAGAAACCUCCGGUGUACAAGCCACCAGUUGAGAAGUCCCCAGUUUACAAACCUCCGUUAGAGAAGCCUCCAGUGCACAAGCCACCGGUUGAGAAACCACCUGUAUACAAGCCACCAAUUGAGAAGCCCCCAGUUCACAAGC
rnacentral:lncRNA from 1 species